rnacentral:lncRNA from 1 species
GAAGAUAACAAACAGACACCACAAUUCUUCACCUUUACUCCUGGUUGGAAAGAAUGAAAUGACAACUCAAUGUUGCUAAAGGAUUCAUGCUUCCAUUCUUUAAGCUCUUUAAGAUGAUCAAAAGAUAGAUAGAAUAGCCAAAUAUGAUCUGACAGAACUUGGAUAGAGUUACAACUAAUACACAUCGGAGAAGGAUAAUUCUCUCUUCCAUUGGCUUUGAAAUGACAAAAAAGAGAAGGACUUUCACCAUUUGCACUGAAUGCAACACACGCAGCAAACCCCAUGCUCCAACUAGGCACUUGCACACUAAUUGAAGAUCCUUUACUUUGAUGGUUAAACCAGCCUGGAAUUUUAUUUCCUGGAACAGCGACACCAAAUCCAGGUCUUGGAUUAGACAAACCCUGUACCAUGAAAAACAAAAAUGUUAGAUAGAUAGAGGGAGAGGGAGAGAGAUACAAAAAGGUUGGGGUAUGAUUAAGAGAAGACCUGGAGGUAUCUUUCAAGCAUCGUCAACCCCAUGCUGUCUUGGCCAUUAUGAUUGUACAAUUCCCAGCAAUUAAGACAUAUGAACUCUGAGAUUUUGGAACUCCUUAGCUUUAUCAGAUCUGGAAUUGUUUUUAGGCUUAUACAACCAUUCAAAUAUACCGUUUGAACUUUAGACGGAACUUGAGGCAAUGAUUCAAGCAUCGUGCAAUCCUCUAAGACAAGCGUUUCCAGUUCAUAAAGCAGAUUUAUGCUCCUAGGCAGGCUAACAAAGUUAUUCCGGCUCAGAUCUAAAGACGUCAAUGAAGAUAAGUAGCCAAUAUCUUCAGGAAGUGCCCCUUCUCUUAGAUUGCAAGCGCGUAAACACAGUACUUCUAAAGAACACAGACCAGACAAAGAAGGCAGCACAGCUAGUCUUUUGAAUCCAUCCAAAGAUAAUACUUUAAGAUUCUUUAAAAGAAAAAGGGAUGCUGGCAGUUGUCUUAUUGAAGUUCCACUUACAUCAAACACCUCCAAACUUUUAACUUUCCCCAAAUUCUCUGGUAUAUUUUGAAGUUCAGAGCAGCCAGACAGAUCAAGUUUUUUAAGGGAUUUCAAACAAGGUAUGCUACUCGGAAUGCUUUCAAGGUUCUUGCAGUUGCUCAUGCUCAAUACUUCUAAGCCAAUCAAAUGACGAAUUGAUGAAGAUAGUUUUGUAAUACCAGUCUCAUCCAAAUGAAGCACCAUCAAUUUGUUCAUGUUUCCUACUAUAUCUGGAAACUUCUCAAGUUUUGAGCAUCCAUCAAGAAUGCAAACUUUAAGUGAUUCCAUUUCAAGGUUGCUAGGGAGAAUCCUAAUACUUACACAAUCCAUAAGAUUCACAUAUUGAAGCUUCUUGUGACGUGCAAGUGAUGGAUGGACCUCAAACAAACUUGUACAACCUUCAAGAAUUAGGUUCUCGAGAUUCGGAAUUCCUGUAAAAUCUGGAGUCUUGAUCAGGUCUAGUGAGUUGCUGAGAUUGAUGAUUUUCAAAUUAACUGCACUCUGCAAUCAGGCAGGGGAGAAGAAUCAUGGAUGCUACUAUCAUAAAUAUAUAGGAAAACAAUAAAAAGAAAUACAAAGGCCCUUAAAUUAGGUGAUCUCACCUUACACCCAUACCAUAAUUGCUCAAUGCUACUGUUAGCCAUGUGAAGUUCAACUAGCUCAUCCACCUGUAAACCAGCUGGCAAUGAUUUUGAAGGGUAAGAAUGCCAUUCAAGAAAUCGUAGCUUAUUGGAAAGAUCUUCAAGUCCUUCAGAAAGCUGCACGUUGUUGAUUUUGAGCAAUCUUAGUUUGGUCAUUUUAGAGAAGGCUUUCAUGUUCCAUUGUGCCUCUUUUAUUCCAGGCAUGUCCAGGAAAAUGGCUUCUAUUUUUUCUUUUCCCUAUCAACCAAAAGGGGCAAACAAGUAAAAAACAAACACAAAGUAGAGAUGGAGCGUAAAUUAAAAUAAACUUCAUGAAAUCUUAUGGAUAAUGUUCUCUAUUAGCUACUCACUGUGUUGUCCAUCAGUGCAAGGCAGACAUCCUCGUAUGUCCACAAUCUACUGCGCCUUCCAGGCUCUUCAGGGGAUUCACAACGAACAAUUUCCUUACCCAUUAUCUGUAAUAAAUUAUGCAUCCAGACUUGAUCCCGAGAGACACUUAUGAGAGAUCUCUCAAUAAGAACUGGUAUUCCAAUACCUGCAUGGAAUCCACGGCUUUCAAGUAUCCUUGUUAUUCGAUCAAUUUUAAACCCCAUCAAGAAACAUGCAAUGUCUAAAAAUAUUUUCUUAUCUGAUUCAUGGAGACCAUCAAAACUAAUGCGAAGCACAUCAAUAAUUUUGCCGUCAGGAAUCUCAUUCAUUCUAUUAAUGGCACCUCUCCAUUCAGGGAUACUUCUUGCAUACAAAAACGAACCUAUAACUUCAAUAGCUAGUGGAAGGCCAUUAGCAUAACCCACAACUUGCUUUGAUAGUUCCACGAAAUCUUCGGCAGGCUGGUCAUUUUUGAAAGCUUUUUGGCUAAAUAACAUAAGAGCAUCAUCAUCAUUCAAUUUUUCAGCCUCAUAAAUUUUAGUAUCAUCAUUUCCAGUUAACACAUUUGUAUCUCUGCUUGUUAUGAUAAUUCUGCUCCCUGGACCAAACCAUCCAGGAUCCGCAGCCAAGAAUUCUAGUUGUUUUUUGUCAUCUACAUCAUCAAGGAUAAGAAGAAUCUUUUUAAGUUGUAACCUCCGUUUUAUCAUCUCAAUCCCUCUAUAAGAAUCCCAUACAGAAGCACGUUCCAUUAAGAUUUCAGAAAGAAGUUGUUCCUGGAAACGGCGUGGUCCAUCUUUCUCAGCAAAAACUUCUCUGACAUUUGCUAAGAAGCAGCUGCCUUCAAAUUGCCAACGAAUCCUAUCAUAUAGUACCCUUGCAACAGUCGUCUUACCUAUGCCACCCAUACCGCAAAUCCCUAUGAAGAUUGCUUUGCCUACUUCUUCACCUAUAUAGCCAUUUAAUACCUCUACACGAGAAUCUAUUCCAACUAAUUUUUUGCUAAUUGUUGGCAGAGUGACGCUUAGUUUGUGCGAUAUGUAUUCAGCUAUUAUUUUAAUUGAUUCCGAUUCAUUCCUGCAUAGGAGGGUGCAAAACAUUAAUCAUGCAGGGUGCAGAAAUCAAAUCAGAUAGUGAUAAUGGGAAAAUAAACAUUAGCAUAUUGUAGCUCGAAAAUGUAUGGCUGUUAGCCGGAAAUUAAUACACCAACCUUUGAGAAAAAUAGGGUCCUGAUAAUAGAUAGCUUCAAGAACAGAGAGGAAAAGGAAAGAAUAAAUUGAAAAAGGAACUAGGAUUGUAUUGAUGCUAAGAAUGAUUCGUACAAUAGCUAUCUUAUUGCCUAUAGAAUCACACAGUUACUACAAGCAUGCAUACAAGAACAAAAGCUAGUAAAUAAAAUAUCCAUUAAGUUUGGUUUUAACAGACCAAAAGGCAAAAGGAGUUCUAUCAUAUUUUUUGUCGACCACUAAGUUAUUUUUAUAAUUAUUUUUAACAAAAAAUUCAAUUAUCUUGCAUAAUUAAGUUUAAAAAAACAACUUUAAAUUUAUUAAUUUUUGAGUUUUUUCCCAUAUUAGCAUAGCCUAAAGAAAAUUUCCCAAACUGACAUAGUUUAAGUGGUUGCGCAAAUCCAAUCCACGCACCUUGAGAUGCACUGAUAUCACAUAUGCUUCUCACAACUCCAAUUUUCAAAACCCAUUUCUUCGUCUUUCUUCUCUAUUUAAUCUUUUAUUUGGUCUUUCAAUUUUUAUACAAUCUUAAUAUUAAUUUCAAUAUAAUGACCAUUUCAUUAAAAUAAACUUAUUUUUAUUUAAGUUGGGCAAAAACAUAACAAUAUUUUAGGCAAAAGUUAACUCGUUUUUAGCGAUUGCAUCUGAAAUAAAUAUUAACUUUAAUUCAUAUAUUUCUUGUGUGCAAAAGAAUAUAAAAAUUGAAAGGAAGAUUUUUGACAUGUGAGACCUGCAUGUGUGAAGUUGCGUAAGUGAGACCUAUACUAUUUUGAGAAAAAUAUAUAUAUAUUAUCUGUCAUACCUUAAAAACUGAACCAUAGAUGAUACUAAUGAUAAGUUGCCACUUGUUGAAAACUUCACUUUAAUGUGUAGUUCUUUAACUAGAUUUUUGGCCUCCGGGGUUGGAUUUUUUUUUUCUAACCUUUAAAAAAUAUAAUAAUAUUUGAAAGUAAAAAAUUCAAUACAUGCUAGAAAAACACUUUUAAAAUAUUAAGAUAAUAAUAUAUUGAACAAUAUAUUUAUUUAAAAAUAUAAUUAUGACGACAACAUACUAAAUCGACUUGGAGUAAUUAUAGAUAACUUGUGAAACUCGUGAUCCGAAGCACAAAUCCGUGAAAACCCCAUGGAACCCAUAUCAAAAUAAAAUAGAGAGUCCAAUUUCAAUCAACCAAAUAUUAAAAGCUAAACAUAAAAAAAUUAUUCGAUUAAAAAAAGAAUUUUUUUAAAAAUAGCAGCUAGAUUUAACAAAGAAUGAGAAAUAAAAAGACUUAAGAUAACCCCGGUUAUUUUUAAAAUUAUUUAAAAAUCUUAUAGAAAAAAAAUUAAAAAAUUAAUAAAGCCCAGUCUCUAAUUAAAUUAAAUAUUGAAUGAUGAAACUGGAAAAAAAAAAAACAUGAGUUUAAAAAAAAAAAAACAAACCUAGACAAAUCUCCUAAACCUAGUUUAGUGUCCCAAAUUCUCAAUCCGUUAAAUCCUAGAUCCAGACUCAACCAAAAUGCUUAAUUCAAUGUUAAAGUAUAAAAUCAGAAUAUAUAUAUAUAUAUAUAUAUAUAUAUAUAUAUAUAUAUAUAUAUAUAUAUAUAUCAAUUUUAAAAACUUGUCGAGGUUAAAAAACAUAACAAUAAAAAAUAAAGGAUGAAAUCGUAAAAAAAAAAUUUAAAAAUAAUCUCACAUAAAAUAAAUAAUAAUCAAAAGAAUGAGAAUCAAAUCUAAUACAUUAAAAAAUUAAAAAGUAUAAAAUUAAAAACAAAUUUUAAUUCUAAAUAUGAAAAAAAAAAAAACCAAAUUGAAGGGUUAAUAUACAAGUUUAGAAGGUCGGGUGCGGAAUUUAAGGAUAAAGACAAAAGAAAAUAAAAGAAAGUCAUUUGGUGCCAAAUCAGAAAGAAUUACUCCACACAUGCCACUCAGGGAGGUAGGUCAUGUCGUGGUGAAUCAGAAAACAUCAAUGAAGGAUUUUUUUGGGUGUCAUAAGCCAUUUCUCGUGCUGCUUAAAUAAGACAGAACAACUUACUUGCUUGUAUGUUCUACAAACAAGCCAACCACUUUUCUUUUCUUUUUUUAUCGUAAAAAAAAUAAAAAAAAAUACAUGAAUAAGCCUUUGAAGAAAAGGUAAGUAUUUUUAAUUUUAAAGAAAAUAAAGUUAUUUUAUUGCACUCUGAAAAGUGAAAUCCCUAAAAAGCUCCUAUAGCUAAUUUAUUUAUUUUUACUUUUAAGAGCAACUAAGUAAUUAUACCGUAAAAAAAUACCUAUCUACCCCAAUCAAUUCUAUAAUGACCAUUGGCCCUUAUAAAAAGACCCUAUUAUCCCUAAUAAGUUUUUUUUUUUUUUUUGGAAUGAAAAAUGAGUAAAUUCAUUGUUACAAUCCAUUAGUAAAUCAAGACAUUUCUCAAGGAUUUUAAAUUUUUGAUACAAUCGAUAAAGUUAUCCUCUAUUAUUCUAUAAUACAAUCAGGAAAGAGUUGUCCUCUAUUUUUCUAAAAAUGCCUCAAUAAAUUCAAUUUAGAUAAAUGAAAUUUUAUUAUUCAAUCUAUUAAAUGAUAGAAAUUAGCAAAAAGUUCAAGAAUUUUUUUAAUUUGUUUUCAAUUUUUAUUUUAUAAAAAUUGUGACAAUUGAGAUUUGAGACGUGCUCCUCUUUUAUUUUAAAAGUCAAAAUUAAAGAAAAAAUAGGGUCGUUAAAAAAAGCUAUUUAAUGAAUCAAAAAUAUAUACUAAUAAUUAUUUACUCAAGAAUUAGUUUUGAAACUCUUGUUGUAUUGUGAUAAUUUCGAUAUUUAAUCAAGUUAAUGUUUAAAUUGAAAAACAUUGAAAAAAAAACAGCUAUGAUCAUCAUUGAAACAAUAGAGGGAGGAUUUGAGAAUAAGAAUAAGUAGAUGGAUGAUUUACCUAUCCCGCACGUCCCAGCCUGAUAGAUUGGCCACCGUAGAGAGACAAUCUUUCCAGUUCCGGACCUUCUCCAAGUUUUCCUUGAAAUUUUGUUCCUGCUCAACGAAGGCUUUCUCAUAUUGUCCUUUCUGCUCGGCUACCUCUGAGGGAUCCACAUCAUAAAAAACUGGCAGAACAGUGUGCCCCAUCUCUUUCAUGCACUGAACAAUCUUGACAAGUUCAUCCAAGCACCAUGGUGAAGAAGCGUAAUCUCUUGAAAAUAUAAUGACAGAAAACCUUGAUUCUUCGAUGGCCUUCCAGAGAGCAGGUUCUAUGGUCUUUCCUCUCUCGAGCUCCCUAUCAUCCAUGUACACAUCGAUGCCUCUCUGUUCCAGAUUAGAAUAUAGAUGACUAGUAAAGUUGUUCCGGGUGUCUUUGCCUCUAAAACUAAGGAACACAUCAUACAUAUAUUGUGGAGGAGAAGAAGAUGAAGAUGAGGUUAUUCCUUGCACGCUGGUGGAAGCCAUGAAAAUCCCUAUAGCGAUAAACUAGUACCGAUCCCUUCUGGCCUCAAUUAGUGUCACUUGGUUCAGCAAUUGCUUUCCACGCUAUUUUGUGUAAGGCCUGCUCCUGUGCUCAAACAUGAAACAGAAGGUAAGAUCAAGAAAUUUGGCAAUUAAAUCUACCAAUUAGCAAUUUCAAGCUGGAACAUGUAUAAUUCUACUUAGAAAUCAGAAAACACCAAAUUUCUACCAAGUAUUACACGAAUCUAGACGAAACAAACCGUGUGCUAAGUGUUGACUAAAGAGGCACAAGAUCUAGCCAAGCCCAGUAUUUGUUUCUACUUAUGGUAUCUUAGUAACCAACUUCCAAAGCCCUUUUCUUUUCUUCUUUUUUCCAAUGACUUCGAAUUUCUUCCGGUUUCUUUAGAUCAAGAACUCGUACUGGUAAGUUUCCUGGAUUUCUUACGGAUCCCUUUCUCACACUGUAAAGAAGAUGGACUUUCAGCGGAGAAAAAGUCAAAAGAAAUGGAAGGGAUAUCGCACGCCCAUGGGGCAGCAGAGGAACCUUCCUGUCAAUAGCAGGGGUUGUGCCACACACUUCACAAUUGAGUUGUAUGGUUCAUAUUAUUUUUAAUGAAUUUUCAAGUCAAGCAUGUGUAAAAUUAUAUUUUAGAUACAAUAAAAAGUAAAUAAGAACAUUUUAGAUACAAUAAUUAAAAAGCUUCUAUAAUAUUUUUAUUUAUAAAAACAAUUAAAUUGAAAUUUUAUUAAAAAAAAACCAAAACCCGUUCCAAUUGACCGGUUUCGAUUUGGUUCGGUUAUUUUAGGUUAAAAACCAAAACCCAACCAACUGGUUUCGGUUCGAUUCGAUUUGGUUAUUUUAUAUUAAAAACUGAAAAUUAUAUUGUUUUUUGUGGACUUUUUAAUGGGUUUUUUCGGUUUGGUUUGGUUUAGUUUAUUUCUUAACUAAACCGGUUCAGUUCGGUUUUUUUAUUUCAGACUUAUGAAAUAGAAACCAAACGGAACCGAAUUUUUUAAAAAAUAUUCUAAUUGGUUUUUUUCUUGGUUCAAUUAUUUUUUUCGGGUUUUCUCGGUUUAAUCAGUUUGUCGGUUUGUUUGUUCAUCCCUAUUAGCAAUAUCCCAUAUGAAACCUUUGAUUAUGGGGUAUUUAGGAUUGUAGUAACAAUUGUUUUUUAAAAUGUUCUUUUACUUAAAAAUACAUCAAAAUAACUUUUUAAUUAUAUUUUAAAAAUUAUUUUAAAUAUUAAUAUAUCAAAACAAUGCAAACCACUUGAUCUCCUUCACCUUGUCAGAAUUCUUAAUUAAUGAACCAACCCCUCUGUCACCGUUGCAACAUCAAACCACCACCCAUGCCAACAGCCUCAAAAACCACUCUACAAUCACCUUCUUCUUUUCUUUUUACUAACAAAAAAAAUUAUAUAUUGCUCUUCUUUGUUUUUAGUAUUUGUACUUUGAUCCUUCUUCUUUUAAUUUUUUAUUUUUAUCAUUGACUCUUUAAUAUAAGUUUUGUUUCCUUUAAAUUUAGUUCUUCAAUUCCAAUUUGUAAUAAAUUAUAGUUUCCAAUUUGAUCUUUAUUCUUUUUAUUUUUAAUUGUUUUAAUUGAACCUUUUAUGACAAUUGUUUUUCAAUUUUAACCUUCAAUCCAAGUUUAUUUUGUUUUUUUUUCAAUUUGAUCCUCAAUUUUUAUUUUUGUUUCCUUUUGUCCUUUGCCCUAUUGUAUAAGUGUUAUUUGUUUUCUAUUUAGUCCUUCAAUUUCAAUUUUUCAUACACUCCUUUUUAUUAUUUGGUUCUUAUUUUUUAUUUCUUAUUUUUUUUUCCUCAACUCUUUUAUAAAACUUUUAUUGGUUUUAAUCUUACCAUUCAAUUGAAGUUUAUGGUUAGUUAUUUUUUUUUCAAUUUUAUUCUCAUUAUUUUUUAUUUUUCUUUUUAUUUGAGUUAUUUUUCUUUGUCGUUAACCCUCCAAUAGAACAAAAAAUUAGUUGCACUAUAAUUUAUUUUUUUAUUUUGAUUUUCACUCUUAUUUUUUUAAUUACUAUUUUUUUCAUUUUAGAUCCUUUUGUGUAGUUGAUUUUCCCCCCGUUAUGUUCUUCAUUGUUUGUUGACUCGGUCCACUUUUUUUAUUUUUUUUUUUCAAUUUCGUGCUCCAAUUGUUUUUUUUUCUAAGGUAUCAUGAUCUUUUUAAAAAAGAAAUUAUUUAAUUAAUAUCAUUUCAUUUUCUUUUAUUAUCUAAUGAAAAUAAACCAACUUAUUAAUCUCAGUUACUGUUAUCACUUGAAUUGUUAAUUUUUUUUAUUUCUUUAAAACACACUUGCAUCACCUAAAUAUCGUUCUUGGACUCGCAACUCAGUGCGGGCCCAUGCCUAGUGUAUGUUUCUAAAACUCAAAGGUCAUGUUUUCUAAUUUGCUUUAAGUAUGCUAUAAAGAACAUCCAUCCCUCAUCAUUGUGAGCCAAACUAUAACACAAUUCUUAAAUACAAAUAAUGAAAGUUAUGGAUAAAAGUUAGACAAUAAUUUUGUUUUAAAUAUUUAUAUAAUUUUUUCACAUUAAAUAGCAAAUAUACUAAAACAAAAAGGGAUUAGAAACUGUGGUUUUAUUGUAGCACAAGACACAUUUCACUAUAUAUUACAAUAUUGAAAUUACGAUUAGCAGAUCUCCCUAUUACCGGGAAACCUACAAAAAUAAGAAUGGGAAGAGGAAAAGGAAAUCCUACGGGUUGGAUUGCUCGUGUUUCUACGGGACAAAUUCUAUUUGAAAUGGAUGGUGUGAGUUUGUCAAAUGCUCGGCACCCCUCAUUCAAGUAAUAAGUGGCAUUGCUGAGAAGGGUGUUAGGGUCUUUUUGUUUUAUAUGAACAAUGAAAAUACAAAAAUGCCUUCGGUGACAAAAAAAAAAAUUAUAUGCUUUUAGUCCAUGGGUGUCAUCAGUUUUUGAUAUUUUAGGUUACAGAUAGAUUGUUAAAAUGUCGUUUAAGUUAACAAAGUCAAAGCUUUCAAUCAAAAAAUAUUUAUGUCUUUUCAAGCUGGUUAUUUUAUUAUUUUUUUUAUUUUAUCAAGGGCAUUAUUGUAUUAUCAAAAUAAAUAAUAUUAAAUUUUAAAAAGUUGUUGGUUCAUGGAAGGUACUCGUGCAAUUCAAACGACGUGUGCGGCACCUCUCGAUGGUUACAUAUGUCUAACCACCAUGAAGUUAGAUUCAUCGAUGGUUAGAUGGUUUGUAGCUGGUGAGCCUUUAUUUUAUUUUUUUUCUUUCUCCUCCCUAAAAAAUUACAUAUUGGUCUUUUUUGUUUUUGGUAUUUGUACUUUGCUCCUUCUUCUUUUGAUUUCUUUUUCUUAUCCUUGACUCUUGUCGCAUGUCGAAAUCCGCGCGACGUCGGCUGACGAUUUUUCUUUGUUGUGUGUUUCUUGCUUGAAUUGAUUCAUUGAGAGUCGCCACCUAGUAAUUGAUUGAGGGCUACUAGGAAACCGAACGUACUGGUCUUGUCGGAGAUUUGCGGGUGAGGGACUGGUUGUGGUUAGGGAAGGUAUUAGCACCCCUAACGCACCCUACCUGAGGUAAGCUGCUUCGUGAAUUUGAUGUGUUUAAAAAGUUUUAAUAAUUAUUUUUUUCAUCAGAUAUUAGAAAUACAACUUACAUAUAAAUUAAUAAUUCUUAAUUGUGAUCCAAUCAAAAUAUUAAAUUCUUCUUUAAUCUUUACAAUUUUAUCAUAAAAAAAAAAAUAAAAAAAAAAAUUCAUAAACAAAAUACAAAAAACACAUCUAUUUUCACUAUCCUUUUUUUUUUCUUUUCUUUUUUUUUUUGUUACAUCCACACUACAAAUAAUACAAAUUCAAAAACCUCUAAACAAAAAUUACAUUACACUUUGGAAAUUACAAAAACAGCCUCUAAAAAAUCCUGGAAUUUGCUGGGAACGUUUCUGUGAAGCCAUGGACACCAGGAACAGUGGCCGCACGUUGUUCCACGUGCCACCGCCACUGGCGGCGCGUGAAGCUGUUGAGGGUGGCAGAACCGGCGGAUCGGGGCCUUCUUCCUCUCUUCUUCCUCGCCGGCGGUGACUGCUACCUCUACCUUCUCCUGGUGUUGAGGGUGCCACAAACAGUUGAUUUUAGCGUUUUCUUUCUUUGUUUUUUUUUUAGAUCUGCAUCUCUCCCUUCUCCUUCUUCGGGUCUGCUUCACCGCGGGUCAGUUUGUCAUGGGUUCCGUCUUCUUCUCCUCUGCUUCGGGUGGCAGAUCGGGCGGUGCUGCCAUGGCUGAUGUCGCUGUGAUGGGAAGGAGACGCCGCUACAAGACUGGUGGGAGGAGAUGAAGAAGACAGCGGGGACUGCUGCUGGAGGCCGGUCUGUGCAAAGGAGAGCCGAUGGAUGAGAAAGGGGACGGCGUCUGUGGGCGCUGCUGCUGUCGGCCGCCGCUGGGUUCUUCGGUGGGAGGAGGCUGUGAAGGGGACUCCUGCUGGGAAGGUGAGGAUGGCGUCUCCCAAGCUGGUGGUGGAGGGGAUCGGUUGCUGCUGUGUGGCUUGGUGGAGGCCGGCGCUGAUGACUCUGUGGGCGGCCGUGUGUUGGCUGCGGCCAUGUUUGGUCGUGGGGGAGGAGAGGAAGUCGGCUGAGAGAGGGAAGACCUGGUGUGUGGCUGGUUUGUUGUGGUCUGCUGGUUGAAGGAAAAAAAUGAGGUGUUUGGUUUACAGAGAAGCUGAGGCUAGCAGAGCAGAGGGCUACCGUUGGCUGGGAGAGGGAAGGUUUGGAAAUGGGGGAGGCUGCGGCUUCUCUUGUUUGGCCAAGUGGGGGGGGGGGGGGCGUGGCCGACUUAGGUUUUUUUUUUCUUUCAAGGAGGCGGCGGCGGCUUCGGGUUAAGGAGAAGAAAGGGUUAUGAUUUUUAGGGUUUUUUGUGGUUUAGGGUUUAUUUGUGAUUCUCUAUCCUCUCUUUUUGUGUGUGUUGAAGGCUACUAUUUAUAGGCAAAAUGUUGCUUAGGCCUCAAAAUUGGUCCCUCAACUUCUUUUUUUUUUGUAAAUUUUGAUUUUUCUUAUUUUUUUAUAUUUUUUUGAAAACGAGCAAUAUCAACAUCGACUCAAUGAGGAAAAUCAAUGAUUUUUUAAAAAUAACGCGUUAAAAGUUGAACGCGUUCCAAAUAUCUUUGAAAAUUUAAAUUCUUUUGAGAUGAUGCUGAAAAUGCUAAAAACGAUGCAAAUAUAUUUAAAAAUAUAUUUUUUUGGAUUUUCAAUGUUUUUCGCUAUUUUUGAAUUUUUCUGAAAAUUUAUCAAAACAUGGGUAAAAAAUUAGGUAGCAACAGAUGCCCCCUCUUUACAAUGUUUACGAAGCAAAACUCCUCAAUGUUUUGCAUAGUAAGCUUUGUAAAGAAAAACUUGUUUUUCUGUCUGCUUAACUUGCUCAAUAUCCACUCAUCUAAAGACCUUACUCUUUUUUUUCUCUUUUUUCGUUAACUUGAGAUCCCAUCUGGCGAUCUCCUUUUCCAAAACCAAAGAAUGUGUAUAGCUCGGUCAACCUGAAAUCCCAUCUGACGAUUUCCUUUAACCAAAGCUACAUGAGAUCCCAUCUGGCAACCUCAUUCAACUAGAACUAAAAAAUAUGUGUAGCUCGGUCAACCUGAAAUCCCAUCUGGCGAUUCCCUUUAACCAAAGCCACAUGAGAUCCCAUCUGGCGACCUCAUUAAACUGGAACUAAAAAAAUGUGUGUAGCUCGGUCAACCUGAAAUCCCAUCUGGCGAUUCCCUUUAACCAAAGCCACAUGAGAUCCCAUCUGGCGACCUCAUUAAACUAGAACUAAAACAAUGUGUGUAGCUCGGUCAACCUGAAAUCUCAUCUGGCGAUUCCCUUUAACCAAAGCUACAUGAGAUCCCAUCUGGCAACCUCAUUCAACUAGAACUAAAAAAUAUGUGUAGCUCGGUCAACCUGAAAUCCCAUCUGGCGAUUCCCUUUAACCAAAGCCACAUGAGAUCCCAUCUGGCGACCUCAUUAAACUGGAACUAAAAAAAUGUGUGUAGCUCGGUCAACCUGAAAUCCCAUCUGGCGAUUCCCUUUAACCAAAGCUACAUGAGAUCCCAUCUGGCGACCUCAUUAAAUCAAAACUAAAAAAUGUGCAAAAAAUGGUCUCAUUGUAAUGGGUGACCUACCCAGGUGGAAAGAAUAUGGAAAGCGGUCUCAUUAUGAUGGGUGAGCUACUCAAAUGAAAAAAAUGUGAAGUGCGGUUUCAUUGUAAUGGGUGACCUACCCCAAAGAAAAAAUGGAAAGAGUGGUCUCAUUGUAAUGGGUGACCUACCCAAGUGGAAGAAUGACCUCAUUGUAAUGGGUGACCUACCCAGAUAAAAAAACAUGGAGAAAGAAAAAAAAUGUUGGUCUCAUUAUAAUGGGUGACCUACCCAAGAAACAAAUGUUGGUCUCAUUGUAAUGGGUGACCUACCCAAGUGGAAGAAUGACCUCAUUGUAAUGGGUGACCUACCCAGAUAAAAAACAUGGAGAAUUGGUCGCGUUGUAAUGGGUGACCUACCCAGAAAAAUAUUGGUGAGGGCUCAAAGGCGCACUCGAAAUGAGGUAGGGUUAGAAAACGCACUACCUGAGAAACAAUGGAUCAAAGGCGCACUUUAAAGGAGGUAGGGUUGGCAAACGCACUACCUAAGAGAUGGUGGCUCAAAGGCGCACUCGAAAUGAGGUAGGGUUAGAAAACGCACUACCCAAGAUAUGGUGGCGCAAAGGCGCACGCACUACCCAAGAGAUGGUGGCUCAAAGGCGCACUCGAAAUGAGGUAGGGUUAGAAAACGCACUACUUGAGAAAUGAUGGCUCAAAGGCGCACACAAAAGGAAGUGAGGGCUCAAAGGCGCACUCGAAAUGAGGUAGGGUUAGAAAACGCGCUACCUCAAAAGGUGAUGUUGAAACACCAAUCUGACAAUGUUGAAAGCAAUGCAUUAUGAUUGAUAUGCAUGUAUACUUACCUGAGAAAUAUAGGUCCCUAUUUUUUCAUGGUGUCUUUCUUUUCUCAAAAGUUGGAGUGUUGAUAGUAAACAUCGAUGGCUUUUCGCUCUUGCUUAUUCGAGUUAUAUCUUGUGAUCUUGACCUCUAGGAAGGACUUGAUGUCAUCAUACUUCUUUGUUCUUCGCCCUUUAUCUCAAGGGUUGCCAAUUUUUCCCGGUAUUUUUCUUAAAAAGGGAAUCAUGGAGCCAGCCUUACCAUGCAUUUUUUUAUUGCCCCCAAGCUUGAUCGUGCCCUCAAGUGUUCAAAUCAGGUUUAGGGAUGAGGCUAUGUGAAGGAAGGUUUGGCCAGGAGUUGUUUUCAUGCAGAAAUUUUGGAAUUUCAAAGCUAUUCCAGACACAGAAAUUAUUUUGACAUUGAUUCAAAGCAAACUCAUUCUGAAGAGAUUCAAGUGAUUCCUAUGGAAAGGUUUUCAGAUGGGAUGAAAACUUUUUUGUUUUGCUUUUGACGAAAAUAUGAAGAACACGAAGUGACAUCUAGUUGGUCAUGACUUGUGCUAUUAAGCGAAUGGAACUUGAGUUUCUAAAAAAAGAUGGGUUCUUUUGAGGCUUCUAAAAAGCUGUAAGUUCUUGGAAAUGAAGGGAAAAUGAGGGACUUUGAUUGGGAUUUCAAAGUGGCUUGUUUUGCGACGUUUCUCCACAUAACCGUGGAUGGUUUAAGAUAGAAUUGUGGGUUUCUUAUCAAAAGUAAUCAAAGGAUCAAAAUUUUUGGUAGAAAAUAUACGGGAGUUGGCACUCUAAUUAAAGGAAAUGAGAAAAAAAAGAAAAAGAAAUGGAAUUGAAGUGAUUGAAUUUUAGAGAUGAAUUAAAAUGCGCGGGUAAUGCAAUUUGAGAAAGGAAAUGAGUUCAUAGAGAGGGUAUGAUAGUGGCAUUAGCAUACCGGCCGCCUUAUACCCUGCAUAAACCUUCUUUGGGUUUUUGGCUAAAUCCAGUUACAAACGAAGCAAGUCCAAUUUUGGAGUCAGUGAUUAUAUAUAUUAAUAUUUAUGUGUUUAUAUAGUUGUGAAUAUAAAGCUAUUAAUAAUAAAAGUAUAGAAGUUUAUUAAUUACUAAAGAAAUACCUUCCAAAAUUCAUAUUCUAUUUAAAAGCAUGCCUACCAAAGCGACAAUUUGUCAGGCUUGUUAGAGAAUAAUAUAAAUCAUAUCUUGGGACCUCACCUUACAACUUAAGCUUUUGGGUUGAAAUGGUUCUUUGACAUGGUAUCAGAGCCUUGAUGACCAAGCGGUCACGAGUUCGAAUCUCACCAUCCCCAUUUAUUUGAUAAAAAUCAAGCACAAGGUAAAGUGGAUCUGUGCAAGUUUCAAGCCCAAAGGGCUUUCACUUGAGGGGGUGUGUUAGAAAAUAAUAUAAAUCAUAUCUUGGGACCUCACCUAACAGCUUAAACUUUUGGGUUGAGAUGGUUCUUUAUCAGGCUUAUAAAAACAAAUUGUUACUAAAUUAAUUUUUUUUAUUAGAGUAAAGAUAUUUUGAAUUUAUAUUUACAUGUAUGUUGUGUUUGUUUAGUAAAAAAAAUAAAAAUAUAUUUAACUAAAAAAUAAAAGGAAAUAUAUAAAAUCCAAAACAUAAAUUAAAUGUCCAUACAUUUUCUCUGUUUUGUUGUUUUUAUUUUUUUAUUUUAAAAUAAUAAUAAUCAAACACCAUUUUUAUUUGAAUUUAAAAAUAGUGAGUGAACUUGGAAAUGUUGGACAUUUAAUUUGGGGCAUGAAAUGUUGCAUUGCACAUCGAAGAUGGUUUUCUGUUUUUGAGAAGAAAGAACAAACACUUUUAACAUAAAAGUAACCAAUUAAAGAUGCCGCCUUUCCUAAUGAUUUGAUCUAAUAGGUUGUCGGGUAGAUUGUUUGUUUGUAUUUGCAUUUUAAAAAAAUUAAGUUUAUUAUUUUAAUUUUUUAUUUUGAAUUAAGUUUUUUAUAUAUAUUAUUUUAAUGUACUGAUAUCAAAAAUAAUUUUUUAAUAAUAAUAAAAAUAUUAUUUCAAUGUAUUUUUAAAUAAAAAAUAUAUUUUAAAAAAUAAUUGUUAUAAUAAUAAUAUUACCACAAUAAUAAACAGGCUCUUAAAAGUUAUGAGAAUUGUUUAGAAUGAUUAGAAUGCAUGCAUACAGCUCGGUCGUAUAUAAGAUCAAUUUUCAUGUAUUUUGAAUUUAAAAUGCAUGUUGUUGGUAUUGAAAAAUAAUAUAAAUCAUAUCUUCAAACAUCACUUGAUAGUUUAAGCCACUGAGUUAAACUGGUUUUUUACUAUUAUAUCAGAGUUUUGAUGACCAAACGAUCACGAGUUCAAAUCUUAUCAUUCUUAUUUAUUUAAUAAAAAUUAAACACAAGAUAAUGUGACCUUAUGCAAAUUCAAGUCCAAAAUGCUUCCACUUGAGAGGGGUGAUAGAGAAUAAUAUAAAUCAUAUCUUGAGAUCUCACCUAACAGUUUAAGUUAUUGGAUUGAAUUGAUUCUUUAACGGUUAAGAGAAAUUAAUUUUAAAAUGUAGUUAUUGUAUUUAAAUUUUAAUCAAAAAUUAAAUUAAUGAGUUAAGAUUUUGUUGAAAAAUAUUUUUUUGCAUGAAUAUUAAUUAUAACAUGAAAUAUUAAAAUACUUAAAAUUAAUGAUAGAUAAAUAAAAAAUUAAUUUCAAAGAAUUCUGAAUGAAAUUGAUGAAAAAAAAAUCAUGUUGAUAAGAAAUUAUUGGUUUUAUCUUUUAGAAAUAUAUGUUGUUUUUAAUUUAAAUCUAACACAGACACCAAAACCAGAGUUAAAAAAAUAGGCAGACUAGCGAUUCCAAAAUAAUGGUUGAAAUUUUCCAGAGCACGGGCUUUCCGCCAUGUAAAAGUUUUAAUAUGGAAACAAUCCUUCCAUCCGCAAACAUGGGAUUAUCCUAAAUUUAAGAAGAAAAUUCAUACAUAGUAAAAUGUGAAUCUAAUUACCCCAAACCAAAACCAUGAGCAAAAACUGACGAAGAUCUUCAAGCUAAAGCAAGUUAAAUUCCGAACCAAAACCCAGGGAGCAGCUGCUGCUGCCGCUGCUGCAGCUGCUGCUGCUGCUGCUGCAGCUGCAGCUGCCGUUGCCACUGCAGCUGCAGCUGCAGCUGCCGCUGCUGCUGCCGGAGCACCUCCUGCUGCUGGAGCACCUGCUUCUGGAGCAGCCUGAUGAGCUGCUGCUGAUCGAGCAGCUGCUGCUGAUCGAGCCGCUGCUCAGCGAGCUGCUGCUGAUGCCGCUGCUGCUCAUCGAGCUGCUCGAUCAGCAGCUGCUGAUCGAGCCACUGCCGCUGCUGCUCAUCGAGCAGCUCCUGAUCGAGCUGCUCGAUCAGCACCAGCUGCACAUCGAGCAGCCGCACCGGCCCGAGCACCUGCGUCUGCUGGAGCAGCUGCUUCUGCCACCCCUGCUGGAACCGCUCCCACCACUGGAGCACCUGCUGCCGCUGCUGGAGCACCUGCUGCCGCUGGAGCAACUGCUGCCGCACCAGCUGGAGCACCUGCAGCUGCUCAUCAAGCCGCUGCUGGAGCACCUGCACAUCAAGCUGCUGCCGCCACCACAGCUGGAGCACCUGAUGCUUAUCGAGUAUCAGCUUAUGAUUGAGCUGCAGCAGCUGCUGCUCCGGCUCCUUGAACAGCUGCUGCAGCUCAGGUAUAAAGAAACUGCACAUGGAAUCGAUGUUACAUAUUUUUUUGGGUGUUAAAAAAAAAUUUUAAUAAAAAAUUUAUAGAUUGAUUUUUUCAACAUGUUUUUGUAUUUAAAAAAUUCUAAGUGAAAAUAAAAAAAAUUAUGCAUAAAUAUAAUCAAAUAAAUAAAAAAUUAUGUGUGUUAAUAAGUAAAAAAAAACAAUUAUAAACUAUAACUAAAAAUAAAAGUGAAAAAAUCGAGAAACAAGUAUAGAUUAAGAUAUUUAAUUUUAAAAGACCAGAUAUUUACGCGAUUGUAUUUACUAAAUUUAUUAAUUGAAACAAGUUUUUUAUUCAAUCAAACGAUAAUAAAAAUAGAUAUACACAUUAAAUUGAUUGAAUAAAAUAAAAUAAAAAAAUAAUAUGCAAGACUGCACAUAUUAGAAAUAUUAUUUGAAAAUAAAAUUUUUUAUUUUCAAGAAUAAAGUUCAUAUGUACAAAAGAUUAAAAAAAAUUAUAAAUGAAUCAGAAAAUGUUUCUCAAAAAUUAAAUGCAUAACUAAAAAAAUAACUAUCAUUUCAAAAAGGAUCUCUAAACAACAUAAAAAAGGAGAAGAGAUGUUAAUCUAAAUAUAAAUUUAAAAAAAAAUAUAAAAGAAAAAAAAGAAGAAGAAGGAAAGGCCAGGCGUUGUUGGGAUUAGUAAAUCAAGCCAGUCCAAUUGCCGCAUUUUGUUAGGGCCCACACCCACUAACCUUUUUUUUUUUGUUGAAAGAUGUUUGUUAAAAAAAAAAUAAGAUGACGCUCUUUUACAGACCAGAUAUUUUUUUCUCUUACAAAAAAAGUUGUGCAUGCAUGUUUUUUUGAUGCAAUUUUAUACAUAAAAAAAAUUUAAUCUGUAAAUUAAAAAGCUCGUACAUACAUGUAAUCAAAUAAAUUGAUAACUAUGUGAAUUAAUAACAAUAAAAAUAUAUUAACGAUAACUAAAAAUAAAAUUAAAAAAUUCAAAUGUGUUAAUAAAUGAAACAUUUACCCAGUUAUAUUUUUAAAAUUUAUUUAUUAAAAUUAAUCUUUUUAUCCAAUCAAAUGAUAUUAAAAAAAACACACGUAUUAAAUUGAUUAAAUAAAAUAAAAGUAGAAAAAAUAUUAUGCAAGGUUUGUUGUACAUAUUAUGUUAUCUGAAAAUAAAUAUUUUUUAUUUUUUAAAAUAAAUUUCUUUAUACAAAAAGAUAAAAAAAAAUUGUUGAUGAAUCAUAAUAAGUUUUUUUUUAAAUUAAAUACGAACAACACCAUAAAAAACAAUAUCUAUCCAAAAAUAAAUAAAAACAAAAAUCACAGAUGAGAAAUAUUAAUUGAAAUAUAAAUUUAAAAAAUAUUUUUAAAAAGAUAUAUAAAAAAAUAUCAAUAAAAAAAAGCAAUAUCAGAAAAAAAAAAAAAACAUUGUUAUGUUGUUGGGGCUUAACUCGUUAAAUCCGUGACCCGUAGCAUGAACUCAAUCGGGUUCAAUAUUGUUUUCCCUUUAAAUUCGUAUUCAACCUUUAACAAAAAAAAAAUUAAACAUGUGACCUAGACCAUGAACUCAACCAGACUCUAUAUUGUUUUCUUUUAAAUUUAUAUUCAACAUUUAAAAACAAAUAUAUACAACACCAUAAAAAAACAAUUUAUAUUAAAAAAAGGUUAAAUAAACAAAGCAAAUCACAUAUGAGUGAUAUUAAUUGAAACAUAAAUUGAAAAUUAUCUAAAAGAAGGAUAUAUAUAAAAAAAAAUCAGUAAAAAGAAAGCAACAUUAGAAAAAAAAAUAAUUAUCCAAUUAUUGUAGCUUAACUUGUUAAACUCGUAACUCAGUUCAUGAACUAACCAGGUUCAAUUUUUUUUCUUAAACCUUAAAAAAAUUUAAAUAUGGGACCCGAACCAUGAAUUCAACGAGGUUCAAUAAUUGUUUUCUCUUAAAUUUAUAUUCAACUUUAAAAACAAAUCAAAAAUUAAAAAUACACAACACCAUAAAAAAAUCAAUCUUUAUAAAAAAACCUCAACCAGGUUGAUUUUUUUUUCUUAAAUUUAUACUCAACCUUUAAAAACAAACUUGUGACCGGGAUUAUGCACUCAACCGGUUAAAUAUUUUUCUCCCUUUGAAUCUAUAACAAACCUAAAAAAAAAUAAAGUAAAUAAUAUCAUCCACAGUAAAACAUGUCAAUUUAAUACGGAACAUAAAUUUAACUGAGUUUAAUAUUAAUUUUUCUUAAAUUCAUAAUCUACCUUGAAAAAAACACUUGUAACCCCAUUGUGUACUGAACCUUGCACGGUGUUUUUCCCAUGAAAAAAGAAGAAGAAAAAAACAGAGUUGUUAACAUUAAGUUCUGAAAGUCGAUAUUUCAGCAUUCCCAGUUUCAUUUACUUGAAGUGGUUGAUAAUUCGAGCUACACACAAAAAAAAAAAGAAGUAAUUAUUACCUUUUCAAUGAAUUCGAUCCAGAUGAAAUCUCAACUUUAGUGAGAAUAUCCAUCCAUCUUUGUCCUUUCUCCUCGUUUUUCCUGAGAUUUUCUUCAUUCUUAUCAAAGACAAUUGUAUAACUCUCUGUUUGAUCAUCUAUCUUUGAUUGUCCGACAUCACAAGAAACUGGAAACACAAUGUCCGAUCUCAUCUCAUCCAUGAAUCCGACAAUCUUGACAAGUUCUUCAAAGCACCAUGGUAAAGAAGCACAAUCUCUUGCAAAUAUAAUAAUUGACAGCCCUGAUUCUUCAAUGGCCUCAAAGAGUCUUGAUCUAAUUGCCAUUACUUUCUCUCGUUCCUUCUCGACUGGCACAAUGAAUCUCAGGGCUAGAUCUGACUUUAAAGGUCUGCGACUAAUGUCUACGACUCUGAUGCCAGAGAAAACAUUAGCCUUCCAUUGAUGGUACGACGAAGAAAAAGCUAAAGAAGCUUUAUAUGAAGAAGCUGCUUCUUUGCUUGUAACAAUAAAAUGGGCAGAAGAUGGUCGUGGUGUAAUAUAUACAGAAGAUAGCAAACAGACACCACAAUUCUUCACCUUCACUCCUGGAUGGGAAGAAUGAAACGACAACUCAAUGUUGCUAAAGGAUCCAUGCUGCCACUCUUGAAGCUCUUUAAGGUAAUCAAAAGAUAGAUAGAAUAGCCAAAUAUGAUCUGACAGAACUUGGAUAGAGUUACAACUAAUACACAUUGGCGAUGAAGGAUAAUUCUCUCUUCCAUUGGCUUUGAAAUGACAAAAAAGAGAAGGACUUUCACCAUUUACACCGAAUGCAACACACGCAACAAACCCCAUGCUCCAACUAGGCACUUGCACACUAAUUGAAGAUCCCUUACUUUGAUGGUUAAACCAGCCUGGAAUUUCAUUUCCUGGAAUGGCGAUGCCAAAUCCAGGUCUUGGAUUAGACAAACCCUGUACCAUAAAGAACCAAAAUGUUAGAUAGAUAGAGGGAGAGUGAGAGAGAUAGAAAAAGGUUGGGGUUUGGUUAAGAGGACCUGGAAGUAUCUUUUAAGCAGGGUCAACCCCAUGCUGUCUUGGCCAUAAUGAUUGUACAAUUCCCAGCAGUUAAGACAUACGAACUCUGAGAUUUUGGAACUGCUUAGGUUUAUCGGAUCUGGAAAUCUUUUUAGGCUUAUACAACCAUUCAAACAUACCGUUUGAACUUUAGAUGGAACCUGAGGCAAUGAUUCAAGCAUCGUGCAAUCCUCCAAGACAAGCAUUUCCAGUUCAAAAAGCUUAUUUAUGCUUUUAGGCAGGCUAACAAAGUUAUUCUGGCUCAGAUCUAAGGACCUCAAUGAAGAUAAACAGCCAAUAUCUUCAGGAAGUGCCCCUUCUCUUAGAUUGCAAGCGCAUAAAUCCAGUACUUCUAAAGAACACAGACCCGACAAAGAAGGCAACCUUUGAUCCGUGGGAUUCACAGCUAUUCUUUUGCAUCCAUCAAAAGAUAAUACUUUAAGAUUCUUUAAAAGAAAAAUGGAUGCUGGCGGUUGUCUUAUUGAAGUUCCACUUGCAUCAAACUCCUCCAAACUUUCAACUUUCCCCAAAUUCUCUGGUAUAUUUUCAAGUUCAGAGCAGCCAAACAAAUCAAGUUUUUUAAGGGAUUUCAAGCAACCUAUGCUACUCGGAAUGCUUUUAAGGUUCUUACAGCUGUUCAUGCUCAAUACUUCUAAGCCAAUCAAAUGAUGCAUCGAUGAAGACAGUUCUUCAAUACCUGUCCCAUCCAAACGAAGCACCAUCAAACAUUUCAUGUUUCCUACUAUAUCUGGAAACUUCUCAAGUUUUGAGCAGCCAUCAAGAAUGCAAACUUUAAGUGAUCCCAUUUCUAGAUUGUUCGGGAGAAUCCUAAUGCUUUUGCAGUUCACAAGAUUCAUAUAUUGAAGCUUCUUGUGAUGUGCAAGUGAUGGAUGGACCUCAGACAAACUUGUACAACCUUCAAGAAUCAGGUUCUUGAGAUUCGGAAUUCCAGUAAAAUCUGGAGUCUUGAUCAGGUUUAGUGAGUUGCUGAGAUUGAUGAUUUUCAAAUUAACUGCACUCUGCAAUCAGUCAGGGGAGAAGAAAUAUGGAUACUACUAUCAUACAUAUAUAGGAAAACGAUAAAAAGAAAUACAAAGGCUCUUAAAUUAGUUGAUCUCACCUUAUACCCAUACCAUAAUUGCUCAAUACUACUAUUAGCCAUGUGAAGUUCAACUAGCUGAUCCACCUGCAAACCAACUGGCAACGAUUUUGAAGGGUAAGAAUGCCAUUCAAGAAAUUGUAACUUAUUGGAAAGAUCUUCAGGUCCUUCAGAAAGCUGCACGUUGUUGAUUUUGAGCAAUCUUAGUCUGCUCAUUUUAGAGAAGGCUUCCAUGUUCCAUUGUGACUCUUUUAUUCCAGGCAUGUCCAAGAAUAUGGCUUCUAUUUUUUCUUUUCCCUGUCAGCCAAAAGGGAAUACAAGUAAAAAACAAAUACAAAGUAGAGAUGGAGCGUAAAUUAAAAUAAAAUUUAUGAAAUCAUAUGGAUAAUGUUCUCUAUCAGCUACUUACUGUGUUGUCCAUCAGUGCAAGGCAGACAUCCUCGUAUGUCCACAAUCUACUGCGCCUUCCAGGCUCUUCAGGGGAUUCACAACGAACAAUUUCCUUACCCAUUAUCUGUAAUAAAUUAUGCAUCCAGACUUGAUCCCGAGAGACACUUAUGAGAGAUUUCUCAAUAAGAACUUGUGUUCCAAUAUGUGCAUGGAAUCCACAGCUGUCAAGUAUCCUUAUUAUUCGAUCUUUUUUAAACCCCUUCAGGAAACAGGCAAUGUCUAAAAAUAUUUUCUUCUCUAAUUCAUGGAGGCCAUCAAAACUAAUACGAAGCACAUCAAUAAUUUCACGGUCAGGAAUCUCAUUUAGUCUAUUAAUCGCACUUCCCCAUUCAAGGAUACUUCUUCCAUGCAUAAACAAACCUAUAACUUCUAGAGCCAGUGGAAGGCCAUUAGCAUAGCCCACAACUUGCUUGGAUAGUUCCACGAAAUCUUCAGCAGGUUGGUCAUUUUUGAAAGCUUUCUGGCUAAACAACAUAAGAGCAUCAUCAUCAUUCAAUUUCUCAGCCUCGUAAAUUCUAGCAACACCAUUUCUAGUCAACACUUGUCUAUCUCUGCUUGUUAUGAUAAUUCUGCUCCCUGGACCAAACCAUUUACUCUCCGCAGCCAGGGAUUCUAGUUGUUUACGGUCAUCUACAUCAUCAAGAACAACAAGAAUCUUUUUACAUUGUAACUUCCGCUUUAUCAUUUCAAUACCUCUAGAAGAAUCACAUAUAUUAGCUCGUUUCAUUAAGAUUUCAGAAAGAAGUUGUUCCUGCAAACGACGUCGUCCAUCUUUCUCAGCAAAAACUUCUCUGACAUUUGCUAAGAAGCAGCUGCCUUCAAAUUGCCAACGAAACCUAUCAUAAACUACCCUUGCAACAGUCGUCUUACCUAUGCCACCCAUUCCACAAAUCCCUAUGAAGAUUGCUUCGCCAACUUCUUCACCUAUAUAACCUUUUAAUAUCUCUAGACGAGAAUCCAUUCCAACUAAAUUUUUGCUAAUUGUUGGCAGAGUGAGGCUUAGUUUGUACGAUAUGCAGUCAGCAAUUACUUUAAUUGAUUCCGAUUCAUCCCUGCACAGGAGGGUGCAAAACAUUAAUCAUGCAGUGUGCAGAAAUCAAAUUAGAUAGUGAUAAUGGGAAGAUAAACAUUAGCAUAUUAUAGCCCGAAAAUGUAUGGCUUUUAGUCGGAAAUUAAUAUAGAGAAAGAUAGCGCCCUGAUAAUAGAUAGCUGCAAGAACAGAGAGGAAAAGGAAAGAAUAAACUGAAAAAGGAACUAGGAUUGUAUUGAUGCUAAGAACGAUCCGUACAAUAGCUAUCUUAUUGCAUAUAGAAUCACACAGCCACUAAAGAAGCAUGCAUACAAGAACAAAAACUCUUUAUCAAGUUUGAUUUUAGCAGACCAAAAGCAAAUGUAGUUCUAUCAUAUUUUUUGUCGACCACUAAGUUAUUUUUAUAAUUAUUUUUAAAAAAAUUUCAAUUACCUUGCAUAGUAAACUUUUAAAAAACAACUUUAAAUUUAUUAAUUUUCAAGUUUUUUCCCAUCCUAGCAUAGCCCAAAAUGUUGGGUGGAGAAACCACUAGUGGUGGCUUUGAAACACUCAGAGGGGAUAAAACACAAAGUUUUAUUUCAAGAAUAAGAAGCUUACAAUAAGAAAAUAACACAAAAGCUUAAUACACGCCCUCUCUCUUUCUUUCUAGUGUUUCUCUCUAAUCUCUCCACUAAUAAUAGCAUAAGCUCAGCUGACUAUUUAUACACAAAGUGAAAGUAAGAAAAAUCUCAAAAUAUCACGUGUGAAGGUGACUGGUGGCAAGGCGGUUGGGCGGUUGACAGGGACGGUUGACAGCUGGUGAUUGCUUUCCUUGACCUUCUAGAUAGAUUGAGUUUAAUACAGCACAAAAAAACAUUUCUCAGAUCAACAUAGCUUAAGUGGUUGCGCAAAUUCAAUCCACGCACCUUGAGACACACAAAUAUCACAUAUGCGUCACACAACUCAAAUUUUUGUCUGACGCAUAUAGCACACACGCUAGCAACUCAAAUUUCUUUGUGUUUGUCUCUUGUAACACACACACUAGACAUCAUUUUUUUUGGUGCUACACGUGCCAGUAAAUGAGCAUGCCGUUGUCUCUAGACCACGCAUGUCCUCACAUACUACUUCAUUCUUGGCUAUCUUUAGCUUUUAUGGAUCCGUCUCAUCGAACUCUUUUCGAUGUACUAAGGGUUUCAUUUUUGAAGAUUUAAUAUGUCUCCAACAUCUCAUUCCUUCUUUUUUUCUUUCUUUCUUUUCUCCCUUCAACUUUGAUUAUUGUGGCAACCCAUUUCUUUUUCUUUCUUCUCUACUUAAUCUCUUAUUUGGUCCCUCAAUUUUUAUAUAAUGUUAAUUUAAUUCCAUUAGAAUGAUCAUUUCAUUAAUUAAACUUAUUUUUAUUUAAGUUGGGCAAAAAAAUAACAGUAUUUUAGGCAAAAAUUAACUCUUUUUUAGCAAUCACCUUCAAAAUAAAUAUUAACUUCAGUUAAUAUUCUUUUUUUUUGCAAAAUAAUGGAUGAAAUAAUCGUAAUAAUAGAACUAAAGUUAACUAAAUAUAAAUAUCGAGGGACCAAAUGAAUAUACGGGCCAAUACAAAAAGAAAGGGAUAUUUUGUUGACACGUAAGACCUGCGUGUCUCAAGUUGCGUAAGUGAGACCUCUACAACUGGUGAAACAGUUCUAGUUUGGAAAGUUUUUUUACCCACCUAUACUAGUUUGAAAUUUUAUUAUUUGAUCUAUUAAAUAAUAGAAAUUCCUUUGUCCGAACAAGCAAAUUUUACAUCAAUUUUAUCCUUCCUAAAAAACACCUAACAAAUUUUAAUUUCAAUUUUUUUAAAAAAAUAAAAAUAUUCACAAAAAAUAUAUAAGUUAUAAUUAAUUUGUCUCUUUUAUUUAUAAAUAGUUGGAAUUUUUUAAUUCAUGAUGGAAAAUCCUUUUAUUUUAUUUUGAAAAGCUAAAACCAAUAUAUUCAAAAACUUUAGUCUAUUUUUUUUCUUAUGAUGAAUUUAUUGUCAUUUCUUCACAAUUUUUAAUUUUUUAAGCUAACUUUUUAUUUGUUAAUGCUAGAUUUGUUUUCAACUUUCUUUUACAUUUUCAUUUUUCUAUCUAAUAUUUUUUUUUAUUUUCAAAAUAUAAAGAAAAACCGAAGAAAAGAAAGAAAUUUUACGUAAAGAUUAGAAAUGCUUGAUCACAUAAGAUCAAGAUUUCAUAAAAAUUAAAUUAAAAAAAGCAUGCAUAUGAAAAAAUAUACAUUUACUACUAAAGCAUUUGCUAUUUGAUUUAUCAUUCAUUGAGUAUUAUUUACCAUCUUUUGAUUAACAAAACUCAAAGAACACUAAAGCAUUUGCUAAUUGAUUUGCGAUAAAGAAUAUAAUUUUUCUAGUGUGAACAAAACAUUCAAAAAAGAUAAUAAUAAAAAAAACAAACGAUUUUCAUUGGUAAAUAAAUGGAACAUUAGCAAAAAUUUGAGAAUUUUUUUUAAUUUUUGUUCAAUUUUUAUUUUAAAAAAACUGUAACCAUUGAAAUUUGAAACUAUUUAAUGGAUAAAAGGGUCGUUAAAUAGCUAUUUAAUGGAUAAAAAAUAGCUAAAAGGGUCGUUAAAUAGCUAUUUAAUGGAUAAAAAAUAUAUACUAACAAUUAUUUAUUCAAGAAUUAGUUUUGAUAUUCUUGUUGUAUUGUUAUUAUUUUGAUAUUUAAUCACUGUAAGGUGGAUUUGAGAAUAAGAAUAUGUAAAUAGAUGAUUUACCUCUUCCGUACGUCCCCGCCAGAUAGAUUGGUCACCGUAGAGAGACAAUCUUUCCAGAUCCAGACCUUCUCCAAAUUUUCCUUGAAAUUUUGUUCAUGCUCAACGAAGGCUUUCUGAUAUUGCCCUUUCCGCUCGGCUACCUCUGAGGGAUCCACAUCAUAAAAAACUGGCAGAACAGUGUGCCCCAUCUCUUUCAUGCACUGAACAAUCUUGACAAGUUCAUCCAAGCACCAUGGUGAAGAAGCGUAAUCUCCUGAAAAUAUAAUGACUGAAAACCUUGAUUCUUCGAUGGCCUUCCAGAGAGCAGGUUCGAUGGUCUUUCCUCUCUCGAGCUCCCUAUCAUCCAUGUAUACAUCGAUGCCUCUCUGAGCCAGAUUAGAAUAUAAAUGACUAGUAAAGUUGUUCCGGGUGUCUUUGCCUCUAAAACUAAGGAACACAUCAUACAUAUAUUGUGGAGGAGAAGAAGAUGAAGAAGAAGAUGAGGUUAUUCCUUGCACGCUGGUGGAAGCCAUGAAAAUCCCUAUAGCGAUAAAUUAGUACCGUUCCCUUCUAGCCUCAACUAGCUCGCUUGGUUCAGCAAUUGCUUUCCACGCUAUUUUGUGUAAGGCCUGCUCCUGUGGUCAAACAUGAAACAGAAGGUAAGAUCAAGAAAUUUGGCAAUUAAAUCUACCAAUUAGCAAUUUCAAGCUGGAACAAGUACAAUUCUACUUAGAAAUCAGAAAACACCGAAUUUCUACCAAGUAUUACUCGAAUCUAGACGAAACGAACCGCGUGGUUAGUGUUGACUAAAGAGGCACAAGAUCUAGCCAAGCCCAAUAUUUUUUUUACUUCUGGUAUCUUAGUAACCAACUUCCAAAGCCCUUUUCUUUCUUUUUAUUCCAAUGACUUCGAUUUUUUUCCGGUUUCUUUAGAUCAAGAACUCCUACCGAUAAGUUUCAUGGAUUUCUUACGGAUCCCUUUCUUACACUGUAAAGAAGAUGGACUUUUGGGGGAGAAAAAGUCAAAAGAUAUGAAAGGGAAAGCGAACGCGCAUUGGGCAGCAGAGUCAAGAGCAGGGAUCGGGCCACAGACAUCACAAUUGAGUUGAUUCAUGUUUUGUAAUGAAUUCUCAAGUCAAGCAUCUAUGUUUAAAAAGUAAAUAAGGACAUUUUACAUACAAUAAAAAGUAAUUAAGUUGAUCCUUGAUCAUUAUAUAGUUUAAUCAAUUUAUUCCUAUUUUUUAAGAAAUUAUAAUUUAUAAUAACAUUUUAUCUCCUCAUUAUCAUGUGAAAAAAAAUCAACAAAAAAUAUCUAAUUAUAUACAAAAAUUAUUAUUAUUUUCAAACUAAUAACUAUAAAUCUCUUAUAUUAAAUAUUAUAAAUUCUCAUUAAUUUUUUUUAUAAAAAAACCAACUCAGCCUGGUCCUUAUUAACUAAACCUAAUUAACAACAAACGAAAAGAAAUUCAUAUUAAAUUGAGUUUAGAAUCUCAAACUUUAAUAUUUAAUUUUAUCACAGACAACCCAACUUUGAUUUUUCCCGAUCCCUAAAACCAAUUCUUCUCUUAUUGCCAAUAUCUCAUCUCAAACCUAGUGAUUGAUUUUUAAAGUUUUAUUUUUGAAAAAAUACAUCAAAAUAAUUUUAAUAUUAUUUUUUAAAAAAUAUUUUUUAUAUAAACAUAUUAAAACAAUCUAAAAACAUAAAAAAAUAAUUUUAAAAAAUUCAAAUUUCAAAACAGGUCUAGAACCGCUUUUCCAACCAACUUUUUGGGAUAUUGAUUUGAAUCUCUUCUAUUUUCAAAAAUUCGGUUGUGUAGAAAUAAAUCUCUGUAAGCACUCUGCUACACUAGGAUUAUUCUUGGGAUGCCAACACUACUUUUAUAGAAGGGCCUUAUUGAAAGACUUAAUUUCUUUAAAACUCAUGCCCCCGUAAGCUUUGAUUUUAAGAGAUAUUUUCAACUUCUCUGGUGCACCUUUCAAUUUUUCAUAGAUUUAUAAAUUUCCAAUAAAAAACUGGGAAGGAAUUUGAUACACAAGAUCAUGUAAUUUGGUAUUGCCGCCGUACCUUUCUUACUUGUGGUGUCAGUUUUUGCUUCCACGAUUGGAGUUUUUCUGUAUUUCUAUCAAUACAAAAACCCCAAUUCUUGAACUCCCUCACCUUGUCGGAAUUCUUAACCAAUGAACCAGCCGCUCUGUCACCAUUGCAACGGCCCCUCUCCUCCAACUUUAUUAUUUUUUAUGAUUAAAUCAUGUUUAGGCAUAUGACAAUUUAAUUAUAAAAUAUUUUCAGAAAAUUCACUGAAAAAGAUAAAACAAUGUUAUUUGCCCAACAACUUUAAAAUAUUAUUUGGAAUAUACUUUUAUACUUAAAAAAAUAAUAAAAAAUAAAGAAUUGAUUAAGAGUUAAAAAAGGCUUUAAACAACAAAUUAAAUAAAAAAGAUAAAAUCAAAAAAAUAAAAUUGAAACCAUCAAGUCCAACCAAUUGAAGGAUAUCUCAAAAUCAAUAAUCAAAUAAAAGCAUUAGUGAGGAAAGGGAUAACAAUAUGGAUGGGCUAAUAGAAGAAUGGUUGGAUUAAUAAAUUUCAAAGUUGAGAGAACUUAAUUAUUAACUUGUGAUAGCGGUUGUUUUUUUAAAGUUUUUUUUAUUUAUAAAUAUAUAAAAAUAAUAUUUUUAUUUUUGUUUUUUAAAUUUUAUUUUUGACAUCAAUAUAUUAAAAGAUCCAAAAAAAAAAUAAAAAUUAAUUUUAAACAAAAUAAAAUAAAAUUUUAUAACACACAAUGUUUACUGCAAAAACAAAAAGACAAUUGAUAAUAUAAGAACUCUAAGGCUCAUCCUAUAUAACGAAAGGAAAUCCCAGCCACUCAUCUCCCGACACUUUCUACACAUAAUUAAGAUAGCAUAGACGAAGACUCCAAGAGAUAAUCCAAUUUUUCUUCCUGCUGAGCUGUUAAUUGAGCAGUACAGACCCUGACAAAGAAGGGUAAUGGAUGCUGAAAAUUUUCAUUGAUCAAACCGGAUCAUUCCUGAAGAUUUUGAUUUGGAUUUUUAUAUAGACAAUCUAAAUACCCGAACCAGUUCAAAAAUCUAACCUAGAGAGACCAUGUUAUAGGAUACAGAUGGAAAAAAUGAUUUAUUGUCUCAAUUUUCUUGCAACGAAAAAGGCAAAGAGCUUUCUUAUAAUUAAUAAUCCUCCUCUCAACUAAAAAACAUUUUGUAUUGAGGUUGCCAUUUAGAAGGAACCAUAUGCACACAUCCACUUCUGGAGGGGCAUGCCCUUUCCAAAGCAGAAUAGGGGGGGAGUGAUUUUCUUUAGCCGAGAGACUAUUAAAGAAGAGGCAUCUUGAGUGAAUUGAGUACAUGCCGGAAUUGUGGAAUUUCUAUAUCUUGCGGUCUUCACCAUUAGAGAAGACAAGACCAUGUUGCAAGAACAUGUUGUGCUAUGGUUUCUUCAAUGGUCAGAAAAUCAACGGCCACCAUCGAUGGGCAUCCAAACACCUUUUUUCAUCAUUUCCACCUAGCUCCUUCUAAUCUAUUAUAAUCCAAUUUAAUUGCUCUUAAAUUAAUUGAAAUCAAUUUUUUGAAACAAAAAUAUAUCUAGGCUUCGAUCUAUCUAUAGUAAAACAUCAUGGUCUUUUAUUUCUUUAUUAAUUUUAAUCUUAAUUAAUAAUAAUAAUAAUAAUAAUGUUGUUGUUAUUAAUUUAUAAUUUCUAAUAUACUAGUGCUUGUAUAACAAAACUGAAUCCAACCUCUUGGAUAAUGUAGCCACCAUAGCUUGAACACUAAGUGCAAACUCAUAAAAAUGGUUCUCGAUCCGUCCAAUAAUGAAAAUUCUUAAAGGCUUAGCAUCACCAUUAACAUAGUCUUUAUGAUUCAGAUAGUUACUCACCCAGACCAAUCUACACGUAUAUAUAUAUACAUAUACAUAUACAUAUAUAUAUAUAUAUAUAUAUAUAUAUAUAUAUAUAUUAUUUUCAAGUUGGAUGAAAACAAGCAAUAAACAAGGAAGUAACUUGACCAACAUAAUCAUUGAAAGUAAUUCAUACAAUUCGUUGAAUAAAAAGCUAACCCUCCACAAUUCACAGUACUCGUUCACAGUAGUAAUCACCCACGAUCAAAAUAAGAAGAAUAAGUCCCACCAAUUUUAUAGCUCCUACAUAUUUUUUAUUAAAAGAUUGAUCUUAAGAAAAUUAUAAAAUUAACUGAGAUUAAAAAAAACAUUAAAUUAAAUCCAAAAAACAUUCCUCGCCGCUACAACCCUUCAUUUUCACAGCUCCAUCCUGGUAACAAAAUAUAAAAUGUUUUUUUAAGAAAAAACAAUUAUAAAAAGUUUAAUUAAAUUCCAAACACAAUUUCAACCAUCAAUACAAACAUGACGGAUUCCUCUAUCAUCAAACCAUUUUUUUUUAUAAAAAUUCAAAUAGUAAAUAAAAAAAUUCAAAACAACAUAAAAAAUGGAUUCUUUUUAAUUAUCCAAAAACAAGAGAAUUUGGGUUAGUGAGUUGUGAGGGGUUAAUGAGUUUGAGGGAUCGUAUAGUAUACUAUUAUUUUGUCCAUACCAUUGAUCUCUCCGUGGCUAACAAUGUUAUUUGCCCAAUAACUUUAAAAUAUUCUUUGGAAAAUACUUUUAUACCUCAAAAAAUAAUAAAAAAUAAAGAAUUGAUUAAGACUUAAAAAAGGCUUUAAAAAACAAAUAAAAAAGAUAAAACCAAAAAAAUAAAAUUGAAACAAACAAGUCCAUCCAAUUUUUUCUUUCCUUCAUUUAUAAUUACAUGUUUAUUAAUUAAAAAUUAUGCAACAUAAAUUUUAAUUAUGAGACCGAGUAAAAUAAAAAUGAAAAAACACAGUAUACAUAAUUAUAUAUACAUAAAAGUCCUCGGCACUGCAACUACUACAUCAGCGGCAUCACCCUCUUUGGGAUCUUGAUUUUCAUCGGAUUAGCACACAACACAUCAAUUUGGAUGGAAAGGACUGCCAAGGUACUGUGAUUCUGAAUAAUUAUUUUGCUAUGCAUCAAAUAAUUGUGGCUGCAGCUGAUAAUCCACCUGGUUCGACAUCAAAUGAUAAUUCACAUCGUUUUUUGAUGAAUUGUGCUGCAAGUGGUAGCUGACUUGGUUAACCGAAUACGCUGUGGACCAUUUCAUUUAAUUGGGGUUCCUGUUCAUAGUCUGGGGGUGACUGCGAAUGCAACGCCAUGUGCCUGAUGUGAUUGCAAUUUUGAGGUAGUUGGCUGGUUGAAGUUAAGAUGAUUAUUAGGGGUGUUUAUUGUCCUAUCCGGAACAAAUUGAAAAUCAAUUUAAAUUAAACCAAUCUAGUUUGAUUCAUUCAAAAUCAAGAAACCAAACAGCUUGAUAAGACCUGCAAAAAGCAAAGGGAUAAUUUGAUAUUACAGUUAGGAUAAUCAAAGAAGAAAAAAGAGUAAACCCUACAAAAAAAAAAAUAGCAAAAAAAGGAAAAAUUUAAUUAAAGGAAGUUUACUUUUCAAAAAUAAAAAAAUAAAUAAAAAUGUUUAUUUUCUAAUAUAAUUUCAAUUCAGAAAAAAAAAACAAAAAAAAAAGUCAUCUCAAUGGAACAACAUAAAAAAGCAAGAGAAAAAUUUGGUCAUAAGUGCAUGCAUGAAUGAUCAAUGUUAAUAUUUCUUUUCAAAAGCUUCAAUGUAGAAAAAUCUAUAGAAUAGGAAAUAAUAAUGGGAAUAUAAUAAUAAUAAUGACUAGUCUAUGACUUGAUCUGGUUCAAUUGGUUUUAAAAUUUUAAAACUGAAACUAAACUGGAUAGAAAGUAUUUUUAUUUUCUAAUUAGUUUAUUGAGUUUUUCUUCUUAAUUUGAUUUUUUCAGUUGAUUUUUUUUUUGUUUAAUCAAUUUUUCAGUUUCCUUGAAUAUCCCUAACGCUUAUUAUACUGAAACAUGCAAGGUUGUAAAGCGCAUAACAAUCCUGCACAUUUGUGCAUCCCUUGAGUUCUUUUUCAUUCAAAUUAUACUCUUUUGAUCAGUAUUCCUAGUUAAGCACAAUCACAUUAAAUAAUAAAUAAUCAUCAUUUUCUUGUACUAUCUAAGUAUUACCUUAUUUGCAGAAACAAUUUAGCUUUCAUUUACAAAUCAUUUUCAAAAGAAGGAAAAUUGAAAAACAUUCAGCUUAUUUACAAAUCAUUUUCAAAAGAAGGAAAAUUGAAAAACUCUGUUUCUGGCCUCUCAGCUAAGCUGGUAAAAUCUACACAUGUGAUAGCAUGUGAAGGUAUACAAAAUUAUCAGUAUGAGAUUUUGUUCAAAGAACAUCACAUGUUAGUACCAAAAGAUGAUUUAGUUCAAACAAUAAAAUAUGCAUCAGUAACCAUGCAAUGCAUCUAAUAUGUAUCCGCAUGACCUCAAAAACUGGUUGUAGCUGCUUCCUAGGUGCCCUCUUAACUGCUUCACGUUGCUGUUUAGCACCAUGUAUCCGCAUGACAUACGAUGGUAAGAACAAGUGAGCUCCUUUAUCAUAACUGCAAAGGGCAUUGAGGUUAUGCUCGACACGAGUAAGAGAGCUAUGACACAAUUAUCUAAGAAGAGCUUAGAACACACCAAAAAGCUACUUAAAUGCCAGGUCCUGAUUUGUUACUAGAAGCAAUAGUGGUGUUAAGAGUUGCUACAACUACAUGGGAACCAGAAUCCAACCACAAACUCAUUAAAUUCCAGAUUAAAGUAGCGUAUGCAAGGAACAUGUACGAAGAAUUUGUUGUUUGGUGGGAGAAACCACUGGUGGUGGCUUUGAAACACUCAGAGGGGAUAAAACACACGGUUUUAUUUCAACAACAAAAAGCUUACAAAAUAAACAAAAACUCUUAAUACACGCCCUCUCUCUUUCUCUCUAGUGUUUCUUUCUUCUCUUUCCACACACAGUAACAUAAACUUAGCUGCUAUUUAUACAUAAAUUGAAAGUAAGAAAAAAUCUUAGUUGGCGGUGGUGUGAAUACGGCUGGCGGCUGGCGGUUUGAGAAGUCGCUGGCGGUGAAUGCAGGCGGUGACUGCAAGCGGUGGUUGUCGUCUUUGACUUUCUUGGAUUGAGUUUAUUGCAACAUUUAUAUCUUCCAAAUUUGAAUACAAGGAUCUAAAAUUAAUUUUAGUGGGGACUAUGCUAAUGUGCCUCCUGCAACUUGCAUGGUGAUUGAGUGAAAGAGCCAAGACCCUCUAUAAACUUGCUAGUAAACAAAGUGCUCUUUCCCCAAAACCAAUUCAUGAAAUGGUUUUCAUCUGAUGCUCAAUCUGAUCAAAUUAAGAUAUUCAGAGUGCAAUCACUGGUUUAAAUCUUUUCUUUUUGUAGAGAGAAAGUGUGUCCAGGAAUCUUAGUCCUAAUGGGCAAUUUACAACCAAAAGCGCUAGGGAGCUUAUCAGAUUUAAAGGCAAUAGGUUGAAUGGCAGAAGCUGCUAUAGAGGCCUCUUCAUAUUCCAAAGCAUGUGUAGUUUUUCCAAUGAGGAUUGUGAUCACCUAUUCAUGAAAAACUUAACCAAAGUCCAUGAAAAACAUAUCCUAACUAACUUGCCAAACAAUAAGGUUCAAAAAUCUCAGUUUGACUGCAGAGAUCCGUCUGUGCCAUUUCGCCCAUGUAAUCAUCUGUUAUCUCCUUGCACUUCUGGCACAUUUGAAAUUUAAAAUAAAUACCUAUAUAUGAAUCAUCACCUAAAGAAACUAAACUACUUCAAUCAAGUUCUCUAUGUACUAUCCUAAUCCUAAAUUAACUACGUGUCUGACUUCACAUGAAAACAACAAUUCGAUACUCUUUAUCUUUUCUUGCGCUAAAAUAAUCCACCACAGCAUCCUUGUAGAAAACCUAACACUUUUUCUUUCUCUGUAUUUUAUCUCUAACUGCCAAUCAUUCUUUUCCAUGAAGUAUACCUUUCUCUUAAAUAUCAAAAACAUUAUAAUAAAGAAUUCCAUAGCAAUCCCUAAAUUCUCCUGCCUGUGGCAAUAAUGUUAGUUUUCCCAUAUUAGACAUGGUUGUGAUUAGCAAAUGCUCUUCAAUGUUUAAAGACAGUGUUCUCCGUUUUGUUGAGAAUCCUAGACAAAACCUUCCAUCUUACAUCUCACAUUCACCAUGUUUUCAAUAAACACCUGCAAGACAAUUAGUUUCCCUUCCAAUGCAGGUUACAGAAAUGGAGAGGCAGAGCCUUGAAACAUGCUGAAAUGUUAAUUUCAAUUAACUGAAAUUGGGAUUGGAAUUCCAGCCUUUAUAAUCAGAGAUUCAUCGCUUCAUCUAUUAUACCAUUUGAAGCAUUUAACUUGACAUGAAAAUUGAAAACAGCUCCAGGCAUCAAGCAGAAGUAACCAAAACACUAUGUUAAUAUUUCUAAACUUGGAAUAUAUCCAACUAAAAAAUAUAAAAUUAAAACAAGACAAUAGUGGAAAAACUGUAAAUAUAAAACAAGUUAACUACCGUCUCCGGUCUAAGUGGUGGCACCAACAUUGGCAUAUAAGGAAUCACCAUGUGCCUAGCCUGUUUGGAGAAACAACAUUUUUAUGACUUCUUGUGCAAGAAAAAAGAAUGAAAGACAAACAUCUGCAACUUAUGAGGCACCAUGGAAAUUGCCUACAAAUCUUAUCUGUUUCAGCUCUAAAAUCUAGAAACUAACCUAUCUGCUUUGAAAGUAUAUUGCACCCCGACACAAGUUCAUGUCAUAAAGGAUGAUAAAAUAUGAAAACUAGUUAUCACUAGAAGAACAAAAUAUGACAGGGUUACUCACAGUUUUCUCUAGGCCUUUGAGGACUGGUGGGUCACAUUGAAUAACACCAUAUUUUUUCGCGCCCUUCCUGCUUAAGAAAAAGCCAUUGUGCAUCAGUUAGAAGCAAUUACAAGGAAGAAAAGAUAAAUUGAGGUCAUCGAGUCAAUUAAAGAAUGACUCCAUACUUAUUUUCAUAUGACACAGUUCUGAAUGUAUGUACAAAUGCAGGUCGAGGUUCAGAUGGACUAUCAGCUAACUGAUCACAGGGAGGCUGUAUAUAAGCUGUUUGUAACAGCAAUUCAAUUAGACGGCUUCCAACCUGCAAAGUGCAAGGACAGAAAUCAAAUUCGUACAUUAUACAUUUGUUCAAGAAAAUUAGCCUUUAUCAAUGAUUACAAGCACAUAAACCUUAGCCCUAGCAUCUGCAUUCCACGGUUUUGAAUCAUCCUUCGCCUUCACAAUCUCCUCACAGCUGGCAGCUUUUGUUUUUUAAUCAAAUCAGUAACCUUUUUUCUUAGGUUUUCUUGUUCCUUCAUGACAGCAGGGGAUUCACCUUCUACACCAUUCUUGCUAUCAUUAGCCUUUUCCUUUUUCUUCCUUGUUUUCUCCAAGAUAUUGUGUAUUCUAAUCUGUUUCAUCACAGAAACUGUUACAGAUUCAGUCCUCUGUUCAAAGAAAGAGAACAAGACUGAAGAGUUAGGAGGUCCAAAAUAUGGAUUAAGAAUGGUACACCUAAAUAUCUCUGCAUUCUAAAGUCCUUCUUUUUUUUAAAAAAAAAAAAGGAAAAGAAAAGAGGAAGCAACUCCCAUAGUCAGAAGAGACAGUAAAGCAAAGUGUCACGCGUGCCUUUAAAGUCUAAACUAAGUAAAAAACUUAAACAAAGGCACAAACAAGAACACACAUAAUUGAAAUGAUAAAGAUAAUUGCUAUCCCCAACAGGGAAAUGCAAAAGUAUAAAUCCAUAGUGAAACAAUGUCCAAACAUGAGAUGAGCUCUGACAAAGGAAAGUUGAAAUGUCACUCUUAUGAGUCCACCACCAUGUCCAUGCUUUGAAGAAAUUGUAGCUCAAAAGAGAAAGGCGUAAUAGAAUAUUCACCGUAAUAAGGCCCGUGAUAUGAAAAGUUUGAUACAUAAUGACAAAAUUGUAAAAACUUAGUAUCUAAAGGAUCUUACACUAAAUUGUUUUUCCUACCUGCAUUUAGUGUCCUCCCUGGAACUAUGUGUUGGAAAUAAAAGCGGAAACAAAGAAGAAGGAGGAAUUGGAAGGAUAAAUGGUAGAGCUGCAGCCCAAUACCUUAGGCAAAUCUUAUUAUAUUUUCUUGUUGUUCUACUCACCUUUUAUAGUACAAGGAAGAGUAAAAAAAACUACAACUUAAUUAAUGAAGAAGUAGAAACACUUCCUCUUAAUAAAAGACUAUAAAAGCUAAUAAAAAAUAACUGAAAAAGACCAUAAAAGCUAAUAAAAGAUAUUGAAAGUUACAAAUUAUAUUUAACACUAUGAACAGCAGAAGAACUUGGACGGAAAGUAAAAACUAAUAAUAUAUAAGAAAGAAAUCCAGAAAAACCCCAUUCAACAUUCGACAAAACUUUACGGAACGUAACUUCAAAAUCUAAUUUUCCAGGCACUACUAGCUCCAUAGCUGAUUUUUAUCUCAUAAUUGUACAUAGUAACUUUCAUCUUUCUUCCUGGUUCAUCACCUCGGAUGAAGGUUGUCUAAAAGUAAAUUUAAGAAACUUUAUCUUUUCCCUUAUCUUUCAAUAUUUUUAUUUGGGCACUCAUUAUCCUCUGUCUACAAAUCAAACCGCAAGUAAAAAUAAGCAAAUAAAACAUUAGAAAUUACAUGCAUCCUGCUCAAUUGCAUCACCAAUCAUACAAGCAGCAGUCACAACUCUUGCACAUCCAUGUUCCCCACCUGUCACUACCAUUGCUGCGAGUUGAUGCAUUGCAAUAACAGACAUCUUGUCAGCUGGCAACAGAUCAAAAUACGAAGCAUAACCCUGCCUACUCUUCCCCGUUCUAAUCAACUCCUGCUCUUUUGCAAUUGCAUCUGUAAAAGGCUCAAACCAACCAAGGAACAAACUCUUCAUAUAUGGCAAAUUAGGAGCCAACUUAUGCUCACACAUAUCCUUCAAAAGCUCCUUAUAUUCUUUCGUUGCCUGUUCCCAUGCUUCCGCCUCAAUCUUCACUUGCCUUCUCCUUAAGACCCUAUACUUCCCUGACCCUAAAAUUACUACCAUCAAACUUUAAUUUCCAAUAUUGCAGGGUUUUGACGGCAGCUAACUAACUUGCGGCAUGAAAUGUUGCAUCGCACAACGAAGGUGGUUUUCUGUUUUUUUAGUCAAUAUAUACCCACUCUACCGACACUCUCUUCCUCUAUUUCUCCUUCUUCUUCCCCAUCCCACCUCUCCCCUCCCAAACUGCAGCCAACCGCCCAUCCCAACUCUCCCUCUCUUCUCAACACAAGCACUCAAGUUUCUUAUACUUUUGUACGUGGUCACAACAUCUGUUCUUGUGGAAUUUAUCAUUUUUUACAAGUAAAUCUAUCCUUUUUAGUUUUAACAUUUAAAUGUGAAUUUUAUUGUUUUUUUUAGUAUAUGUAUUUCGUUAACGUAUGUACUUUUUGAUUGUUAUUUGUUAAAGAAACUUGUAGUAUGAAUGUAUAAUUUUGUAGUUGUUAUAGUUUGUUUUAGAUUUUGUCAAAUUAUAUUUGUUUGUAAAUUGUUGAAACUUUGUUUGAAUUAUACCAAAUUAGAUGUGUUGUGAUGAAAUAAAUAAUAGCUUGUUUAACAGGUCCGUUUUAAUUUUUAUCAAUUCUAUUGCGAAGUUGUGAUUUCCAUAAAUUUAUAUAUGUAUAAAUUUGUAUGGACGCUGAUAGUUGAUAAUUGAUAAUGAAUAUUUAACAUAAGUGUUUUUUUAGUUUGUUAGAUAAUGUCGGGGCAAACCAAUAUUUUUGUUAUGUUUAUUUACGUAACGUAGUUAAUUAAUACAUGUUGUCGUCAUAAUUUUAUAGAGGUUCGAUAGAAGUCAUGGAUGAUCGUUCAUGGAUGUAUCAGGACUCACCCCAAGGAUUGUGGAGGAUGAGUUAUUGUAAUGGGGUUCGAGGUUUUAUUAAUUUCGUAACAUCUAUCCCGAGGAAUUUUACUGAUGGCGGUAUUAGGUGUCCAUGCCAGAAGUGUAAAAAUAAAAAGUUUCUGCAUCAAGAUGUUGUAACGAUGCAUCUUCUAACCAAAGGGUUUAUGGAGGAUUACCUAUGUUGGUAUGCACACAGAGAACUAUUUGUUCCUAAUGAGAGCAUGGUAGAAAGGGUGGUUGGGUCAACUUCUAGUGCUAACAACAUGGAUGAAGUUGGAAAUGACAACAGUAAUCCUUACAAGAAUAUGAUUAUGGAUGCAAUGAGAAUGAGUGAAGGUAAUGUCAGUGAAUGUCCAAUUGUAGAAGAAGAACCUAAUGUAGACGCAACAAGGUUUUUUGAUCUAUUGAAAGAUUCUGAUGAACUAUUAUGGGAUGGCUGCACGAUCCACAGUAAAUUAUCGGCCGUAGCACAGAUGUUCACCAUUAAGUUAGAUCACAGGUUGAGUGAGGCCAGUUAUGAUAAGAUUAUCGAAUGGGCGAGAAGCAUUUUACCUGAAGGGAACAUGCUAAAAGAGAACUUCUAUGCUGCCAAGUCCAUGAUGAAACCCCUCGAUUUAUGAUACCAGAAAAUUGACAUGUGCCCUAACUUCUGCAUGUUAUACUACCUUGAAAAUGCUGAGUUGACCGAGUGCAUGACAUGUAGGCAUUCCCGUUACAAACCCAGAACUGGCAAAGGAAAGACUUUCGUGGCAUAUAAAAAACUUAGAUACUUCCCAAUCACACCUAGACUGCAAAGGUUAUUCAUGUCACCAAGAACCGUUGAGCACAUGACAUGACAUGACACCAAUCACAUCAUGCAGUUGAUGGAGUGAUGGUGCAUCCUUCUGACGGUGAAGCAUCGAAACAGUUUAACAGUGUGCAUCCUCACUUUUCAGCUGAAUCAAAGAACAUGCGUCUUGGGUUGUGUACAGACGAAUUCAACCUAUUCGGGUCAUUUGCUGCUCCUUAUUCUUGUUGGCCGAUCAUACUAACGGUUUAUAACUUGCCACCGGGGAUGUGUAUGAGGCUGGAGUUCAUGUUUUUAUCUAUGGUAAUAGGUCCGAGCAGUCCGGGAUGGAAUAUAGAUGUUUGUCUUCGACCAUUGAUUGAUGAGUUAACACAGCUGUGGUCCUUUGGAGCUUUGACUUAUGAUAUCUCGAGGAAACAAAAUUUUGUUAUGAGAGUGACUUUGAUGUGGAAUAUCAAUGAUUUCCCAGCUUAUGAAAUGGUUUAUGGUUGGAGCACGCAUGGAAAACUAGCAUGUCCAUACUGUAUGAAGAACAACAAGGCAUUCACGCUAACAAACGGGGGUAAAGCUUCUUUUUUUUAUUGUCACUGUCGUUUCUUGCCAUUGAAUCACAGGUACAGAAAGAAUAGAAAGGAUUUCUUUAUUGGCAGAGUUGAAAAGGAUAUUGCACCCCCACGUCUUUCUGGUGAAGAAUUGCUUGAUGUUGUGUCAGAGUACGGUGACAUUAUGUUUGGUCUCCUAUCAGGUAAGCAGAAGUUUCCUGGUUUUGGUUUGACCCAUAAUUAGGUGAAGCGAAGUAUCUUUUGGGAGCUUCCUUAUUGGAAGACCAAUCUUCUCCACCAUAACCUUGACGUCAUGCACAUUGAAAAGAACGUGUUUGAGAACAUUUUCAACAUCGUCAUGGAUGUAAAGGGCAAGACAAAGGACAACAUCAAGGCUAGAUUGGAUGUAGCGUUGUUCUAUAACCGUAAAAAUAUGGAGUUGGUUUGUGAUGGGUCACGGGUUACAAAACCAAGAGCAAGCUUCGUGUUAGAGAAAAACGCACAACUACUAGUCUACAAAUGGCUUAAGAGUCUGCGUUUCCCUUAUGGGCAUGCCUCGAACAUAUCAAGGCUGGUUAAUACGGAGGAAUGCAUAUUAUUUAGAAUGAAGAGUCAUGACUGCCAUGUGUUUAUGAAAACACCCAUCCCAUUAGCUUUUCGUGAUUUGUUGCCAAAGAGGAUAUGGGAUGCACUCACAGAGAUCAGUCAUUUCUUCAGAGAUAUAUGCUCUAGCAAGUUGAAUGUUGAUCACAUUGAAAGGCUUUAAACGAAUAUCGUCGAGAUAAUAUGCAAACUUGAGAUGAUAUUCCCUCCAUCAUUUUUUGACUUAAUGGAGCAUCUAUCCGUACAUUUACCGUUUGAGGUAAAAGUUGGAGGACCGAUCCAGUACAAAUGGAUGUAUCCAUUCGAGAGGUUAGAUAUUACAAUUGUUGUGUAAUUCAUAAUUAAACGUUUCUUAAUUUUUUUCAAUUGAUAAUUUUUUAUUAAUUCUAUAUAUGCAAGUACUUGUUCAAUCUUAAAAAAAGGUUAAGAACAAGGCGCAUGUUGAGGCGUCAAUAUGUGAGGCCUAUAUUGUUGAGGAGAUCUCAAUAUUUAUCUCAUACUAUUUCGAACCUCAUUUGGGAACGAGGAUCAACCGUGUUCCACGACAUGAUGAUGGUGGUGAAGUGCCUUCAAGUGGGAACUUGUCAAUAUUCUCCAAUCAUGGACGACCCACACCUAAAAAUGCCAUGAGGGGAAGAUAUUUGUCUGAAAUAAAGUUCAAACAAGCACACAAUUAUGUCCUAUUUAACUGCGAUGAGCUGAGACAUUUUAUUAAGUAAGUAGGUGUUCGACUUAAACUUUGUCAAGAGUGUACUAUUUAUAUAUUGUGAUACCAUAAACUCGUAUAAUUUAGAACAACCUUACAGGCAACAUCGACGAUACUUACUGUCCAAUAACUCACAGCUGACCGAAUCCCGGAUCUUUCAAUUACAAGAUGAACAAUUCGCCAUGUGCUUUAGAACACAUGUAAGUCCUAUCACAAACUCAUUAUCUCUUGCAAUGAAAUUAACUGUACGUCAAUAUUACAGAAUAUCCGUUUAUUGAUUAUUGUUGUAUUUGAUAUACAAGGUUUAUCAAAUGGGAGGUAGUGCUGCUAUUUCACUGUCUUUACUAAGCCUAGGCCCUAAAAGAAAAGUCAAGUGCUAUAACGAGUAUUUUGUCAAUGGAUAUGUCUUUUAUACUGAAGAAUACGGGCAUGAAAGAAAGAUAUAUAACAGCGGUGUUUGUAUUAAGGGAUCGACUUCUAGUGAGUUUGAAGUUGACUACUACAAUAGAUUGAAAGAGAUCAUCGAACUGCAAUACCAUAGCGAGCAGAAUAGAGUGUUUUUAUUCAAAGGCUAUUGGUAUGACACAACUGAUAGAGCAAUCAGAGUAGAUCCUCACUAUGAUCUCGUUGAAAUCAACUCAAAAGCUAGACACUGCAACAUAAACGAUGUCUUUAUUUUCGCGAAGCAAUGCCAACAAGUUUAUUACAUAUACACCCCUUCCUUUAGAAAGGACCAAUCAAGAGUUGAUUGAUUAUCCUUUUUAAAAACCAAACUCAGGGGUCGUGUCGAGGUUGUUCAGGAUGAGAACGAAGACAUAAGUGUGAUAAAUGAAGUCUUUCAAGCUAGUGAGUUGGUUGAACCAUAUCGAGUUGCUCCUUAAAUUGACUUAGAAGAAAAUUCGAAUUUUCGUGUUUUCGACGAUAGUCUUGUUGAUGUUGACGCAGAGGAGUUUAAUGCUGUUUUGAGCUCUAAUGAAUAACUACAUUGAAGAGUGCGAUAAAGCUGAUAACAAUCCAAUUGAGGACGAAGAUGAAAAUUCUGACUAAAUAUGUUGUAAAGCCUUAUUUUUAUAAUGUAAUAUUAAUGAUGAUAUUUUGGAACAUGAAAUAUUUAUUUUAUAAUUGUCAGCUCUUGUUAUUGUGUUGUGCGUGCUAUAAGUUUGCAAUUCAAGCUUUUGUGCAGGAGGAUAGACAGGCAUACAAACAGCACUUGCAAAAAGAUUGACAGUUUUACCGACGGCAGGGGACCCAUCGGUAUUUGAUAGAUAGUUGCAAAAACAUUAUAGCAUUUUGCCACAAUCACUGACUGUUAUACCGACGGAAUGUGACCCGUCAGUAUUUAAACGAGAGUUGCAAAAAAAUUACGGCAUUUUGCCACAAUCACCAACGGCUAUACCGACGGAAUGUGACCCGUCGGUAUUUUACCGAGAGUUGCAAAAAAAUUACAGCCCCUGCCACAAUCACGGACGGAUAUACCAACAUAAUCACCGAUAGACGCACCAACGCAUGGCACAGAUUCCAACGCACAUGAUUGUUAGACUGUUUGGUCGGUCGGCACAUUCACCAACGGACGCGGCAAAUCCAAUGCGCGCAUGAUCUGACGCAUAGUACAGAUGGAUUUGCCGACGGACGUCGAAAAAUCUGGAGGGAUUUUCAAAAUUUUGGUGCAAAAAUCAAUUAAAUACCGACGGAAUUUAAUGCCACCGUCCAAGAAAAUAUUAUUCUAUUUUCCGUCGGAAAAAUUGUAGUAUAAACCCCCUUCCCUCCGUGGUUCAUGUUUUCUUCGUUCCUCAUUUCAUCUUCUCUUCUCCUCUCCGUUUGUGUUAAGUUUUUGCAAGAGUUUUGAAGAGUUUUUAUUGUUUUGUUUGUAGUUUUCAACACAUUAAAAGGUAUGUAUUCUCCUUUCUUUAUCUUUGCAUUUUUUUACUUUUUUUAUUUUAAUUAUCAUUAUUUUUUUGGUGUUCUUUGUUUUGUGUAUUAUUUGUAGAUAAAAUCUUGAAAUCAACAUAUUAUUAAGGUAAACAUUUUUCAUUCCUAAAUUUAUUUUGAAUUUAUGUAGUGUUCUUUAGUUUUGUGUAUUGUUUGUUUUGUGACCUUUAAAAUGUAAAUUGAAAUAUAAAAUUAAAUUUAAUUAGUUUAUCUUAAUUUUAUGAUAUUAUUGUUUGUUAUGUUUUUUUUAUUAUUUUGAUUAAUUUUAAUUGUUAUUUAUGAAUUUGUAUUGAUGUUAGUUGAAAAUAUAUAGAUGUUGACUUUCUAUAGAUGUUAGGUUGUAUAGAGUUGAUUUUGCAAUAUUUAUGUAAUUAUCAAUAUUUGUAGGUAUGAAAAUUGUGGGUAGUCUCUAAUAUAGCGAAGGUGCUGGCGAAUUGUUUUACGUAAUUGAAUUUAAUUAUUUAAUUAUUCGUAUAAAUUUGUGUAGAUGUGUUGAAUGAAAAUUUAAUUAUUUUAUUGUUUGUAUUGUAAUAAUUAUUUGAUAAUUUAGUCUCUUUUAAUUGUUAUUGUUGAAUUUUCCAUGGAAAUGGUAAUUGAGAAUGAUGAAUUAAAUUUCAUUGUUUUAUCUCAAUUUUAUUCUAUUAUUGAUUGUUAUGUUUUUUAUUAUUUCCAUUAAUUUUAAUUGUCAUUUAUGCAUUUUUAUAGAUGUUAGUUGAAAAUAUAUAGAUGUUGAAUUUCUAUAGAUGUGAGGUAUAUAAGAUUUUCCAAUGGAGUCAAUUGGUUUGUGGUUAUUGUAAAGAUUUGUAGGUUUAAAAACUGUGGGUAGUCUCCAGUAUAGGGCAGAUGCUGCCGAUUUUUUUAAAUAAUCGAAGUUAAUUAUAUAAUUAUUCGAAUAAAUUUGUGUAGAUGCGUAGAAUGAAAUCUACAGCACGUCGUCAGCAGACAGUUGCAGCUAGUUCUUCUAGCAGCGAGGAGGACGUAUCCUUAGGUGCUGGUCACGGUGAGGAAGCUGCGCCAACUUGUGAUGCUGCCUCUUCUAGCGCGGUUUCACAGCGCAGAGGCGGUGUGCCUUCACAGCGGGGUCAAUUCACUUGUAAGUACCAGACACAAUGGAAGGAUGACCUUUCAAUGUCAGUUUGUUUAGGUUUUAGUUUUCUUUUAUAUACUUAUAACAUAAUUUAUGAACAACUAAUUAAUAUUUUAUUAAUUUUAUUUAAUUUCAGGUUCACAAACAUUGAGGCUGCCCAGACAAUAACAUCGGCAUUUAAAUCGUCGAUGGAGAUUGUAUUGUUUCACUGGAGUUACGUUUCUAGACAUCCUAAGUGGAGACCUAAUAUCGAUGCAUGGUUUCGACGAUUUUAGGUAGGUGUUAACUUUUAAUUUCCAGCUUAUUUUUAAUAAAUUAUUUUUAUAAUUUUAUAUCUUGUACUAUUUUUAUUUUAAAUGAAUUAUUUAUAUACACAGCAUAAAUUUGAGUGGGAUAGCGCGGACAACAAUGUUCUGAGGAGGGUGUGGGAGAAUCACGCGACAACUAGGUAACAUCAAAAAUAAUAUUUAUUUUUGUUCUAUAAUUUUAUGUUCUAAAUUCUAAUUUGUUACUAUGGAAGUAGGUUGUGUGAUUUUUGGUACGAUAUACAAAAAAAAGUAAAAAGAUAUGCGAAGGAUAACGGUCUUGAAGGAUGGAAUGAGGUGGUGGUUUGACAGGAAUUCAAACCACCAUUCAUCUCGAGGGAUAUAUGGACAACAUAUAUUGAGCAUGUGACGUUUGAGCGAUUCACACGAUGCUCACAUUCCGGUGCCGACUACCGGAACCGGCAAAUUCAUGGUUCGGUGACCACGUACAUCGGCGACUCCGUCCCAUUCAGCACAUAUGCGAAGAGGAUGGUAAGAUUAAUUUAAAUGAAAUAUAUCAUUAAUUAAUUUGUUUUUGCUUAUAAAUAUAUUUAACUUGCAACCUUUUUUAUCCUUACAGGCUACGUCUUUUGGACGUGACCCGAGUCCAAUGGAGCUGUUUGUAGAGAUGCACGUGCGGAGUCAAGACCGCAAAAAAGGGGUGCAACAGUUUGUGGUAUGUUCGUUCAAUCAUUUUAUUUCAUAACUUAUUAUUUUCUUGAAUUGAAUAUGAUGAUUUUUUUAAAAAAAAUUUGGAGACCUAUAAUAGCCGGUUGAGGGAGAGAUAUGGGGACGAUCCUUCGACCCAUCCGGAUUUUGAUCCGGAUUUGUGGAUAGAGGUAGGAUCGUCUGGUGGACCCAAUAAAUAUCGGGUCUACGAGCUCUCUAACACUAUGGCCGAAAACUUGCGAUCGGCCCGUAGUGUCUCAAUCGUUGGGAGCUCUCCAUUAGUAUCGAGCACCCAGUCUGAGGAGUUCGUGGCCUUGAAACAACAAUAUGAAUGACUCUCGACGGAUUAUGAUCAGCUUCGUCAAACGGUCAUGGAGAUGAGAUCAAGGAUGGGUGAUGAUACAUGUGCAGCCCCUUCUUGGCCGUACGGUCCCGGGAACAAUCAUCCUCCUCCUCCUCCUCCUCCAGCUCCGCUGUUAUUCUAGUUUAAUUUUGUUUUUGAAACAUAUUAAAUUUGUAAUGAAUAUUUGGAUGAAUAUUAUUUAACAUUAUUAUUUUUUAAUUUUUAAUGUUUAAUACAAUUUUAUUUGGUUAUUUAGUUUUUUUUACUAUUAAUAAAUAUUUUUUUAAAAAUAUAUUUUAAAUCAAUACCGACAGAUUUCCAGACGGAACCAGGCCAUCAGUGUUUUAUCGAGAGUUGCAAAUCAAUUACCACCUAUGCCACAAUUACCGACGGAUAUAUUCCGUCGGUGUUUACCAUUAUUAUUACCGACGGAAUAUAUCCAUCGGUAUUUGACAUAGAGUUCUGAAAUAUUUACCACCCAUGCCACAAUCACCGACGGUUAUUCCGUCGGUGAUUACCGUUGAAAAUACAGACGGAUUAGUCCGUCAGUAAUGUUUUCAGGGGAAAUUUUUUUUGGAGCGCUUCGCCGUCUGUAAUACCGUGGGUGUUUAGUUUUUUUUAAUUCCUGACAGAAUUAGCGACGGAAUGGGAAAUUACCGACGAUCAGUAUUCCGACGGACGGAUUUCGUUGGUGAGACCAUCGGUAAAAAUGUUGCUAACGAUUUGCGUGCCUCACACCGACGAAAUAAAUCUGUCGGUAAAACUGUUUAAUGGUGUAGUGAAAUAAUAUUUUUUAAAAAAUUUUGAACUUUUUUAUUUAUUUCAAAUUAAUUUUUAUUUAUUUUUUUAUAUUGUUUUGAUGUACUGUUAUCAAAAAUAAAUUUUUAAAAAUAAACAACUAUUAUUAUAAUAUAUUUAUUUUAAAAAAUAAUUAUUACCAUAAUAACAAAUAGUAUCUUAAAAUAAAAAACUAGUAGAAUUGUUUAGAAUAUUUAGAAUGCAAGUAUACAGCUUGGUCGCACUAAGAUCAAUUUUCAUGUAUUUUGAAUGUAAAAUGCAUGUCGUUGGGAGAAAUUGGUUUUAAAACAUGGUUAUUAAGUGUAUUUGAAUUUUAAUAAAAAAUUAAAUUAAUGAGUUAAGACUUUACUGAAAAAUAAUUUUUAGCAUGAAUAUUAUAAUAUGAAAUAUUAAAAUACUUAAAAUUAAUUAUAGACAAAUAAAAAAUUAAUUUCAAAGAAUUUUAAAUUAAAUUGAUAAAAAAAAUUUCAUAUUGAUAAGAAAUUAUUCGUUUUAUCUUUUUGAAAUAUAUAUAGUUUUUAAUUUAAAUUUAACACAUACACCCAAAACUAGAGUUAAAAAAAGGAGCAUACUAAAUUCUAAAAGGAAUAGAUCAACUGGUGGUCAGGAUUUGAAUUUACUUUUUAAAGAUUAUCAAUUCAAGUUUCACAAAACUCAGAGUCACUGGAGGCUUAUAUGAUCAUUAACUUCAAGGCAUGUGAAAUUAGUCGAGAUACAUACAAACUAACCCGGAAACCUACAUUAACCUAAAAAAAUAUAUAUAUAUGAACAGACUAGCUAUUUUAAAAUACAGGUUGAAAUUUUCCAAGACCAGGCUUUCUGCCAUGUAAAAGUUUUAAUAUGGAAACAAUCCUUCCACCCGCAAACAUGGGAUUAUCCUAAAUUUAAGAAGAAAAUCCAUACAUAGUAAAAUGUGAAUCUAAUUACCCCAAACCAAAACCAUGAGCAAAAACUGACGAAGAUCUUCAAGCUAAAGCAAGUUAGAUUCCUAACUAAAACCCAGGCAGCUGCUGCUCGAGCUGCAGCUCAGGCAGCAGCUGCUCCAGCAGCAGCUGCAGCUCAGGCAGCUGUUUCUGCUCAGACAAGUGCUCGCGCUUCUGGAUCCAAUGGAUCCGCCGCCGCCGCUCGAGCACCUGGAGCCAUCCCUGCCGCCGCUCGAGCAGCUGGAGAUGCUGGAUCCGCAGCUGGUGGAGGUGGAGGUGGAGCUGGAUCUGCUGCUGCUGCUGCGUUGCUGGAGAUCCUAUGCCGCUAAGAGUGAGAAGGAGAAGUCAGAAUUGUUGUGUGUGUGUGUAGCUUGGCAUAAUGGGAAUUUUUUUCAUACUUUAAAAUUAUUAAUGCAUUUUGUAGGGUUGAACAAAUGAAUAAAAAAAAUUUCUAUCUUUCGGUUCAGGUAAAAUUGUCAUAAAAAAAAAGGAUUAGAUAAAAAGGACUUGAGAACUAAACAUUCAUUUUCCCAUCCCCACCGCGUAGUCAAACUAUACAUGGAAUCGAAGUUACUAUAUACUUGUUACGCGAUAGCGGGUUAAAUAUUUUUUUUUAAUAAAAAAAUUAUAAAUAGAUUUUUUUAACUUGUUUUUGUAUUUAAAAAAUUUUAAGUGAAAAUAAAAAAAAUUAUAAAUAAAUUUAAUUAAAUAAAUCAAGAACUAUAUGUGUUAAUAAGUGAAAAAAAACUAUAAACAAUAACUAAAAAUAAAAUCAAAAAAAUUAAAAAACAUGUAUAAAUCAAAAUAUUUAAUUGAUGAAUCAUAAUAAGAUUUUCAAAAAUUAAAUAUGAACAACACCAUAAAAAAACAAUCUCUAUAAAAAAAACAAAAAAAAAUCAUAGAUGAGAGAUAUUAUUUGAAGCAUAAAUUUAAAAAAUAUAUAUAAAAAAUAUAAGUAAAAAAAUUAUCUAGUUGUUGUGGCUUAACUCGUUAAACCCGUGACUCGAAGCAUGAACUCAACCGGGUUCAUUAUUUUUUUGACCUCAAAUUUAUAUUCAACCUUUAACAAAAAAGAAAUUAAACAUGUGAUCCGGAUCAUGUACUCAACCAGGCCGAAUAUUGUUUCCUCUUAAAUUUUAGAAAAAGAAAAUAAACUUGUGACUCGGACCAUGAAAUCAGCUGAGUUCAAUAAUUGUUUUCCCUUAAAUUUAUAUUCAACCUUUAAAGACAAAUACGCACAACACCAUCAAAAAAUAAUUUCUAUUCAUAAAAGGUUAAAAAUAAACAAAACAAAUCACAUAUGAGUGAUAUUAAUUGAAAGAUAAAUUUAAAAUUACCUAUAUAUAUAUAUAUAUAUAUAUAUAUAUAUAUAUACCAGAAAAAAAGAAGCAACAUCAGAAAAAAUAAUUGUCCGAUUAUUGUGACUUAACUUGUUAAACUCGUGACUUAGUCCAUAAACUCAACCGGGUUCAAUAUUUUUUUCCUUAAAGCUUAAAAAAAAUUAAACAUGUGACCCGGACCAUGAACUCAAUAAAGUUCAAUUAUGUUUUUCCCUUAAAUUUAUAUUCUACCUUUAAAAAAAACUAAAAAAUUAAAAAUGCACAACACCAUAAAAAAAUCAAACUCUAUAAAAAAAGUUAAAUAAGCAAAAAAAAAAAAAAUACAGAUGAAGGAUAUUAAUUGAAACGUGAAUUUAAGAAUUAUUUAAAAAAGAUACUAGUAAAAAAAAGCAAUAUAAGGAAAAAAAAUAAUUACCCGGGUUCUUAUAGCUUAACUCGUUAAAUCCGUGACUCGGACCAUUAACUCAAUCGGGUUCAAUAUUUUUUUCUUUAAAUUUAAACUCAACCUUUAAAAAAAAAAAUCGUGACUCAGACGAUACACUAAUCUGGGUUUAAUAUUUUUUUUCCUUUAAAUUUCAGCAAACCUUAAAAAAAAUAUCAUAUAUUUGACAACAUUAAGUUCUGAAAGCAACACCACAUUUCAGCAUUCCCAGUUUCAUUUGCUUGAAGUGGUUGAUAAGUCGAGGUACCUUGGCACAAAAAAGAAGUAAUUAUUACCUUUUCGAUCCAGAUGAAAUCUCAACUACACUAAGAAUAAGCAUCCAUCUUUGUACCUUCUCCUCCUUUUCCCUGAAAUUUUCUUCAUUCUUAUCAAAGACAAUUGUGUAACUCUUUGUUUGAUCAUCUAUCUUUGAUUGUUCGACAUUAUAAGAAACUGGAAACACAGUGUUCGAUCUCAUCUCAUCCAUGAAUCCGAAAAUCUUGACAAGUUCGUCAAAGCACCAAGGUAAAGAAGCACAAUCUUUUGCAAAUAUAAUAAUUGACAUCCCUGAUUCUUCAAUGGCCUCAAAGAGUCUGGAUCUAAUUGCCAUUACUUUCUCUGGUUCCUUCUUGACUGGGAUAAUGACUCUCCGAGCUAGAUCUGACUUUAAAUAGGUGAUAGCAUUACUAGUAUCUGCGGCUCUGAUGCCAGGGAAAACACUGGCCAUCCAAUGAUGAUAAGAUGAAGAAAAAGCUAAAGAAGCUUUAUAUGAAGAAGCUGUUUCUAAACUUGUAACAAUAAAAUGGGCAGAUGGUUGUGAUGUACUAUAUAGAGAAGAUAACAAACAAACACCACAAUUCUUCACCUUUACUCGUCGCUCGUAGGAAUGAAAUGCCAACUCAAUGUUGCUAAAGGAUCCAUGCUUCCAUUCUUUAAGCUCUUUAAGGUAAUCAAAAGAUAGAUAGAAUAGCCAAACAUGAUCUGACAGAACUUGGAUAGAGUUACAACUAAUACACAUCGGCGAACGAUAAUUCUCUCUUCCAUUGGUUUUGAAAUGACAAGAAAGAGAAGGACUUUCACCAUUUGCACUGAAUGCAACACACGCAACAAACCCC